UAAUAAUCAUGUAAGUUGUUGAUGAUAAUUCUAGCGCAAUGAUAUUUUGAUACAAAAACUAAAACUUGUAUAAAGAGACCAUAUAAAGUACAUUUAAUAUGAGUGUUGAUUUGAUUGAAAGAAAGAGAAAAAAAGUAAUAAAAAAUAGAAAAUGUAUAAUAAUACACUAUUAGUGUCCAAAUUUGUGUCCAAAUAAUCGUAUAAUAAUACACUUUAUCAUUUUCAUUUUAAUCCUUGUAGUAUUUGUUAAUAUUGAAAUUAGUCUCUCUAUAUAUCAUAUUCUAAGGAAUAAUGAAUAAGUUUGCAUUUUACGGGACUGAUUCCAACUUGCACAAAUGUUUAUAGGAAAUAAACAAUAAGGAUUAGAAACAACUUUUUCAAUAUUACAGGGACUAAAACUAAAACGAAAGAAAAUUAUAGAAACUAUAACAAAAAAAUAUGCAUAUUAUAUGGAAUAGAGAGAUAUUAAAGCUAAACACAAGGGGAAAAACAAAAAGAACAUUCCCAACAAAUUUGCCCAACUUCUUACCAUGUAGAAUUCCUGCAUACUGAGGAGCAAUGUCUUGAUCAUGUAAAAUGUAAAAAGUGUUGUGAGGUUAAGGCCUCAUUAUUAUAUUUGUAAGUUCAAUGAAAUGUCUUAAGUAUAUAAUAUAAUGGUUAAAGUUUUAGAGUAUAUGCAGACUUUUGUGUGGUGUAGACUUAUUUGUAUGUUGAGCAUAAAUCCAGCUUGGCUGAAAGAGCUCAAACUCAAAGCUGCAGUCAAGAGUGUAGCAGCAAUUGUUGGUGUAUUUGCAUAAUUCAUAUUCUAAGGACUAUAAUGAAUAAGUUCGCAUUUUACACGACUUAUUCCAACAUGCACAAAUGUUUAUAGGAAAUAAACAAUAAGGAUUCAAAACAACUUUUUCAAUAUUAAAGGGACUAAAACUGAAAUGAAAGAAAGUUAUAGAAACUAAAACAAAAAAAUAUGCAUAUUAUAUGGAAUAGAGAGAGAUAUUAAAGCCAAACACAAGGGAAAAAAAACUGUAAAAUGUAAAAAGUGUUGUGAGGUUAAGGCCUCAUUAUUAUAUUUGUAAGUUCAAUGAAAUGUCUUAAGUAUAUAAUAUAAUGGUUAAAGUUUUAGAGUAUAUGCAGAUUUUUGUGUGUUGUAGACUUACUUGUAUGUUGAGCAUAAAUCCAGCUUGGCUGAAAGAGCUCAAACUCAAAGCUGCAGUCAAGAGUGUAGCAGCAAUUUGUUGGUGUAUUUGCAUAAUUCAAGCAUAGCAAGGUCACAGCUGGCCCAAUAAAUCCAAUUGUCUGUAAUUGUACAUAUAUACAUUACUAAAAUCAACAUAGUAAACAUGUUGUUACAUGAUAUAAGCUCUGACGUCAAAAAUGUAACGCUUCCAGUUACAAGGCUGACUAUAAUAUUAUAGUCGUGUAUCUGGAGGCGUUAUAUAUUUUAGUCUCCACUAGUUAAUAUGAAUUUCAUAUGAUUUUUUAGGUCUAUGAUUGCUUCAAAAUGAAAACAUACAAAUUUUUACAAUCUUUAAAUGUUACUUUUUUUUUUUUGUGUGUUGGUUGUUCAACACUUCAAUGUUAACUCAUGGAGAUACAAGUACAAUCUUAUGCAUGAUGAGGCUGAAAGAGUUACCUGCAUUAAUUUACGGACAAAUGUUGUAGGGUACCCUGCAUUGAUUAAGAAAUCUGAUGCAGUACCAGCUAGAUAACCUGAAAAUGCCAUUGUUUCCCAUGGAACUGCACUAAACCAUGCUGCCUGCUUCAAAUUCACAUUAUAUACUUACAGAUAAACAAUAGUCCAAUGUUGAAUUUUCCAAGCUUCAAUAAUAUAUAAUAUAUACACCUUUACUUGUGUAUUGUACAUAUAAGCUAGCUCAUUCUAGUAUCCAUAUUUUUUAAGCAAUAUAUGAAAUAACAACAUAACGUUAUUUAUUAUAGGUGUGAAGUAUCAACUACUUUCGUUAUUUAUUAUAGGUGUGAAGUAUCAACUACUUUCGCUGUUUACUAAUCUUUAUUAGAAAACCUGGCCGCCACAUUUAGUGGAGUCUCUCAUCCAAACUACACCUUUUCCAUCUACUUAACUCAAACCUAAAACUUUGAUUCAGGGAUCUAAGUCGAGUUCGACUCAGACCAACGUAACGUAGGUAAGUUGUUUAUUAUUAUAAGUAACAAGAACAAACGAAGAAAGUAAUUACGCUUUUGAAAUAAACCGGCAUCCAAGAGAGGAGAACAAAGUAACCCUGAAAAUUAACCAAGGUUUCAUAAUCAGUAUACUUAAAGUUUGAUUUAUGAUAACAAGUUCUUCUCUUUCAAAAAGGUGUAUUUUGAAUAAGUGGUGUCAUAAAAUAGUUGGCACUUAACAACCUUGAAAAAAAUAAACAGACUUCCAUUGAACCGUGUCAAUCCAAGAUAAAUGAUGUUUCCUUACAAUGCAUCAGACACACAUCCUCAUUAUUUUCUAUCCCUCAAAACUUACACAAUACACUUAUAGACCCCAAUUACAACAAUUCAUAAAUAACAAAAAAUAAAAAUCAAUACAAGUAAGGAAUAACAGCUGUCCUUUUCUUAGGAUAAUCCUCUCCAAAUUUCUCCAAAUACCACUUAUGAUUAGCACGUGCCCUAGGCCCCAAAUUAGCAAAAGUGUAAACAAAAAAGCCCAACCCAGCCCAAGACCAAGUCAUCAAAGCCCAACCAAACCACUCCAAAAUUUCCCCAAAGUAAUUAGGACAACUCACAACUUCAAACAACCCUCCUUUAGGCACAACAUACCCUUUCCCUUUCGCUUUCAGCCUCAACAAUUCCUUAUCAGACCAAACAUUAAUCCCCAUCCCACAAAAAAACACCAAAACCCCACAAAAAAACACCAACCAAAAACACAACCCAUCACCAUCAUAAUUCUUGUAGUGAGAGACCCAUCUAGCUUGAACAUAAGAAUUCAACAAAUUGAACAAAAAAGCAAUUAGGGCUAUACUAAAAGGGAACCCAGAAGUGUUUUUCGUUGUUGUGAAGAACAAUCUCAGUGGAUAAACACAAGUGCGGUUGAAGUAAUGAACGAGAAAAGGAGUAAUCAAGAGAAUUGAUUUUGGAUUGGAAGAGUUGUUACCAAAUGGAAAAAGAUAAAGGGUGAACCAAAGUGUGGGACUCUCCAUUAGGAACCAAGCGAGGUAUGGUGGGAGAUUUGGACCCCAACCUGGUCUAUGGUGUUUGCCAUAAGGGGCUUGGAGGAAUGUGAGGGAGAUGAAGGUUGGUGGAGCUAUGAGGUAGAGAGUGAUGAGAGCGUAGUUGAACAGAGAUUCGUCUUCUAAGAUCAUUUUUUUGACGGAAUGCUGUUGUAAGUGUUUGAUAAAAUGCGUCCGAGAGUGUGAUGACAAUGAUUUAGAAACAAGAUCUCUAUUUAAUGAGAGGAAUGAAUAAGACAAAAUAAGGAAUACUUAUGACUUGCGUCAAAAAAAGAAGGCACGAGGAUCAAGUUGAUAAUAAAUAAAUCUUGUUAAUAUUAUAUAAUUAUUUUUAUUUUUAAUAAUAUUUUUAAUUAUUUAUUAUAUUAUUUUCUUUAUGUGAUAAACUCGUGAGGGUAUUAUUGACCACCAAUAAUCAAUGAUACAUUGAAUUCUUUGAAAAUGAUAAAUAGAAAUAAAGUUAUUCUCCAAAUGUGAGAUUUUUUUUAUAUAUUCUGUUUUUUUUUUAUAUCAAACUAUUCACUCCCAAUUUAAUUUACUUAAUUGUUCUAUUUUGCCAAUUUAGUAGAAAGUCGUUGAUCAAGAGUGCGAUCAAUUCAAGAGAAAAAUAUUGUUUACCUAGUCAGAGGUCGCUGGCCUAGAGGGACCUCGCACUAAAUUUUGAUUUUUGUUGUGUGUGCUCGUUUUAACUAUUAUUAUAUGAAUUUAAUACAUUAAAAAUAACUAAAUUAAUAAAUAACAAUAAUAAUAAAUAAUACAUUAAUGAAUAAUAAUAAUAAUUUAUUAUUAUUAUUAAAAAUGAUUAAAAUAAAUAAUAAAUAAUACAUUAAUAAAUAAUAAUAAUAAUAAUAAUAAUAAGUAAUAGUUAUUAUUAUUAUAAUUAAAAAUUAUUAUAAUUAAAAUUAAAAAUAGUAAAUUAUAUUAUAAAUUUCAAAGAAAAUACAUUAAAAAUACAAUUGGAUAAUUGUUUAUUUAAUAAAUUAAAACUAAUUAUAAUAUUUUAAAAAACAAAAUACUAAUAAAUAAUAAUAAUAAUAAUUUGCUACUUACAAAAUUAUAUAAUUUGUGAUUAAUCAAUUUGCUAAAAUUAAUUUGAUACUUACCAAAUUUGCUACUUAUCAAAUUGAACAAUUUGCGAUUAAUCAACUUGUUACCAAAUUGUAUAAUUGAAUAGUUUUUUUUUUAUUAAUUUUCUCAUUUAAUGGUAAAAUUAAUGAUUAAUCACAAAUUGUUAGUUUUCUCAUCAAAUAUGAUUUCGUAAAAUGAUUAAUUUUCUCAUUAAUUUAUAAAUUGAUUUAAUAUAAAAAAAAAUUGAUUUGUGUGAUUGAUAAAUUGAAUAUGCAUUACAUUGUUUGUUUUGCCACAUUUAUUCAGCCGCAUUAAUUUUGAUAUAUAUAUUUUGCCACAUUACCAAUCACAUGAAUCAAUUUUUUUGAUAUAUUGAGAUAAAAUUAGGUAAUAUAUUGUAUACUAAUGUAUUAUUAAUUUAUCUCAAAAGAUAAAAUCAAAUUAAAUAUAUUCAUCUUCCAAAUGUAUUUUAAAAAUAUCUAUAUAUAAAAUAAUUAGAUUAGGUUCAUCUUUUACUUUUAUUAUUUUUUUUAAUCACACGAAUCAAUUUUCUUGAUAUUAAAUCAAUUUGUAAAUUAAUAAGAAAAUUAAUUUUAACAAUUUGUGUUAAUCAUUAAUUUAACCAUUAAAUGAGAAAAUUAAUCUACUGUAUAAUUUGGUAAGUAACAAAUUGAUUAAUCGUAAAUUAUCCAAUUUGAUAAGUAGCAAAUUUGGUAAGUAUCAAAUUAAUUUUAACAAACUGAUUACUCACAAAUUGAUUAAUCUCAAAUUGUACAAUUCAGUAAGUAGCAAAUUUGGUAAGUAGCAAAUUAUUAUUAUUAUUAUUAUUAUUAUUAUUAUUAUUAUUAUUAUUAUUAUUAUUAUUAUUAUUAUUAUUUAUUAGUAUUUUGUUUUUUAAAUAUUAUAAUUAGUUUUAAUUUAUUAAAUAAAUAAUUGUCCAAUUGUAUUUUUAAUGUAUUUUAUUUAAAAUUUAUAAUAUAUUUUACUAUUUUUAAUUUUAAUUAUUUUUAAUUUUAAUUAUUUUUAAUUAUAAUCACUUUUAAUCAUAAUAGUAAUAGUUAUUAUUAUUAUUUAUUAUUAUUAUUAUCAUUAUUUAUUUUAAUCAUUUUAAUAAUAAUAAUAAUAAUAAUUAAUUAUUAUUAUUUAUUAAUGUACUAUUUAUUAUUAUUAUUAUUAUUAUUAUUUAUUAAUGUAUUAUUUAUUAUUAUUAUUUAUUAUUAUUAUUUAUUAUUAUUAUUUAUUAAUUUUAUUAUUUUUAAUGUAUUAAAUUUAUAUAAUAAUGGUUAAAACGAAUAAAAAAAAUCAAAACCUUAGUGCGAGGUCGCCCCCUAGGCCAACGACAUCCAACUAGGUAAAAAAUAUUUUUUCCUUCAACUUAUCGCACGUUGAACCAACGACUUCCUGCUAGACCCAAAAAAUAGGGCAAUCAUGUAAAUUAAAUUGAGAGUGAGGUAUUUUAGUGUAAAAAAAAAAACAAGAUAUAUAAGAAAAAAAAUCCCCAAAUGUGACUAUUAAAUAUUAUUGUUUAAUAGGUAAUGCACUGAUAUGGUCGGUUAUCAACAUGUAUUAUCAGAAUAUUGGUACAUAGUCUCAAUUUUUUAUUUAUAAUAUACUCUAACUUUUAAAAAAUUGUAUUAGUAUAUUAAUUUUCUAUUUUGAACAUUCUAAAAUUCAUAUUUGCAUCUUAUGCCUAAAAUAAAUCCAAUUUGCCACUGUGGGUAUGUGAUAGGGGCUACAGCCAACGAGAAGCCACCAUUCACUACCAAAUAUUAGAAUUUUAAUGGUAAAAUUUUGUAAUUUUAAGGACCCAAUUUUUAGAUUCAAAUCGGACCUAAUAAAAAUAUUGAGACGUCUCUUUGCAUUGACAAUGCAAAGUUAUUUUAUAAUACUGUUUAAUUAUAAUAUUUCAAUAUACUAUAUUAUGUUAAACAAUUUUUAAAUUAAAAACAGUUAUUAAAUAUUUGAUCGACAAGACGAGUUAUUAUUGAUUGUAAAAUAAGUUUACACUCACAAUGCAUCUCUAUUAAAUUUUAAAAAAUAACACAUGAAGUACACAUUAAGAUCUAAAAUAAAUAGAGACAUUACAUCUUCAUCAAAUGAGAACCUCAACUUUUUAGUAUCAAAGUGAUUUUAUGUGUACACAUUGUUUACUUAUAAUUUUUUCAAUAAUAAUAUUUAAUUAGUAAUAUUAAACUUUAUUAUAUCAUCUAUCAAUAAUUUUGUAACUUUAUUAUAGCAUUAUAUUUUUAAUAUUGAAAUCAGGAAGAAUAGAGAGGGUGUACUUAAUAAAGCAUAUCUCCCUUCAUAGGUACUCAUUUAAUAAAGCAAAUCUCUCUUAUGGGAUUAAGACAUCCCUAUUAGGUGUGGUCUCACAAUCUCAUACACACAAGUAUUCUAAGUGGCAUCCAUUCAAAGUCUCAAUCAAUUUAGGUCAAUAUACCAAAGUAUUGAGAUUGAUCACUAUAAUAUUUUAUACGUUGUAUGUAGAUUCAUGACAUGAGGAACUAAAGGUCAUGAAUCUGGAAAACCUCCAGAGAACAACUGAUAAUUGAUGAGUUAAAAUAUGUCCAAUUUCUUAAAGAAAAAGUUCAAGCAUGGCAAAAGAAAAAGGGUAGUUUAUGUUAAAAAGGAAUAUUUAAUCCAAAGUAUAUUUAUGUUAAAAAGGAAUAUUUAAUUGUGCUGCAUUACUUGGUAUUAUGCACUAUUUUAUUCAAUCUAAAAUUUUAUUAUUGAUGAAGUAUAUAUGAGAAAUCACGUAGAUGUAGAUGUGAGUUUUACGAUGAGAUAAUAUUUGGUAAAUAGUAUUGAUAAUAAAAAUAAAGAAAACAAUUUAAAGAUAAUUUUUAAUAUAGAAAAAAUGAAUAUAGACAAAUAAAAACUCAUUAUUUUUAUACCAGAAAUUAUUAUUUUUUCUUUUCAUUUUUCAUUGUAAUUAAUAGUCUUUUACUUUUUGUCUCUUAUUUUGUUUAGUUUUUUUUGUUCACGGCACAUGACACUUAUACAUUGAAUGUCGACGAGACACUUAUAACAUGAUAAUUCAAUGCCACAUGGCAUCAAAAUCGUAUGUGGCAUGCCAUGUCAGAGCUUAAAAUGAUUUGUUAAUGGAGUACUCAAAAUCUUAGCAUUACUUAUAUUCAAUAUGUCUAACACAUUUUCAACAUAGCUUUUCUAAGAGUCAUAAUUUUCUAAAACUCCUAUCGUUAUGAAUAUUUAUCCCAAAAAUCUUCUUAGCAUCACCCUGAUCAUUCACGUCAAAUUCAUUUUUCAAUAUGAAUUUUGGUGCACUUACGCCAUGUAAAGGAUUAUCAACAAUUAAUGUAUCAACUACAUACAAGAAAAGGAAAAUAAUAUUGGCAUGUCACAUCAUCUAGGCUAGAAGAAAAUAUGACAUAAAGCACUAAAAGAAUGAAAAUCUUGAAUUACAUGGACAAUAUCACAUCAUCUAGUGAUAAAUACUCAUACUAUAUAAGUUUAAGAAAUAUUGAUUAUAAAACCACAUCAUAUUUAUAUCACUUAAUUGUAUUGUCUUAAAUUAGUAAAUUUCAUCAAUCAAAAUAUUUAAUGAAAUCUAGUGAAAAAUAUUUAUGAAACAUAUUCGUCUAAUAAAAUUUCAUAUAAAUGAAAAACUAAUUGAUACUUCCACCCCACUUUACAUCAAUGCAUAAUAACUUAUCUUAAAAAAUAAACAAGCAAAAUCCCACAAAAUAGCUUGACAUUAUCUAAUGAUGAUUGUACCAAAUAAUUAUAUAUCUUUAAAAAAUAUAGUGCAGAAUAAAUUAAUUAGUUUACAUAUUACUAUUAGCGACGUUUUUCCCUUUUCCGACAAAUAUAUACUAGUGAAGAUGCAUGAACUAAUUAAUCUUGUAAAAUAAAAUUAAAUGCAUGAACUGAUCUUGUAAAAUAAAAUUAAAUGCAUGAGCUAAUUAUGAUUUUACACGUAAUGUUAAUGAAAGUCUUGUGAUCGUGACCCUAUAUAUAUGUUUUUUUUUUUUCUUUCUAAAAACGCAAAUUUCGAAAUUGCUUUUCGUUUUGUUCAAGCUCUGCUUCGUGUCUCUCUCUCAAAGCAGCAACGGAACAAACUUUCUCUCUCUAAUCCAACGAACAACCAGUUACUUGUUUCUCUCUCUAGGGUUUGGAGCUUCCACUCCAACACUCAGUGGAGAGAGAGAAGCUUUGGACGCUACAAUUCUAGUAGGGCUUUUUGCUGUUUCUUCAUGCUAAUUCCAAACAAAUUCACUCUCAUUGUGAUCAAGCUACUUUCGGUUUUCACAAGAAAGGAUUUCUAAUUCGCUGUUGUUUGCGUGGUUUGAGGUAGGUUUUUGUGCUUUUUUAUGCUCUUGACAUGGUUCAAUUUUGCUGUUUCUGGAACUUAGGAUGUGAAUGUUGACUUGAAUUUUGAUAAUUUUGAGCUGAAAGUGAGUUGGUUCUAGUAGUUGUGAAGAUAUAAGAGGGAAAAAGAUGAGAAACGUGAAAUUUUGUUGGGGUAGGGGUAAAUUGGGUGUUAGGAAGGGUUUUAAAUAGUGGUCGGCUGCGUUUUGAUUCUUGAUAUCGCAGAGAAUUGUGGUCAAAUGCAGCCUCAAUCGCAGUUGUGUUGCUUCUUUGGCAACACCAAUAACUGUUCUGUAGCGGCCUAGAUUGCGGUUAUAGGUCUUUAUGUAAAACCCCGUAGGUUUAUUGGAGUUAGGAGCAUUUAAUAAUUGCUCUAUUGUAAUGUUUGAAAUUUGAACGAUAAGUGAGUAGAUUCCUUUUUAAUCAAAUAUUGCUGUGGCAUACUGGCUUAUUAAUAUGUUUUCUAUAUGAAUGGUGCAGGUAGAAGUAUUAUAGGUACUAAUAUAUGUAGGUAGUUGUGGGUUAUUUGCGGUGUACUGUGGGCGAAUGUUACUUCUUGGUGCUUAAUGACGUUUUCUAUGGACUUGAAUGCCUCUCCUGUGCCGGAAGAUGAUGAAGAUGCUUUUGAAGGCCAGGUAGAAGAGUAUAAUGCACCAAAAGAGGAGUAUAGUGCGCCAAAAGAGGAGUAUAAUGCGCCAAAGGAGGAGUAUAACGCGCCAGAAGAGCAUAUAGAAAGUGCAGUUGACAUAGCACGCCGGGUACCCUUUCCUCUCUAUUCUUAUAUUAUUUUUUCUUUUGUUUGAUAAUGUCAUAGUUGGUGGUCUAAGUUGGAUUUGAUUCAUGUUGCCUUGGAAUACUGUGAUGGUAGUUUCUUAUUUAUCGGUAUGGUUCAUACAUAGUUAUUUUUCUUCUAGGAUUUUCAUGAGGUUUAGUUGGGAAUCCACUUUCAUUUUGAUGGGUUUUUUUGUGGUUAGCUUGACUGUAUUUUGUUGUAUAAGGAAUUAUAUAUUUUUCUCCAAAGCUCUAAACAAGUUUUAAUAUUGGUAAAACUGCAUAAAAUUUCUAAAUUUGGAUGCAACCAUUCUGCGGCACAGGAAAAAAAUCAAUUUAUGUGAUAUAUAAUUUUUAAAAGAGCUGCUGGAAACUUGUGAGAAAUUAAAUCAUCUGCAUAAUAGGGAACUAUGCUGAUUCUACAGCAGCAUUAGUAAAUGUCUCUAAACCUUUCUUUCCCAAGAAGUUAGUAUAUUCAUUCCAAUCCAUGCACUUGUACAUGUUCUGCAAUCCAUUUUGAUGCUGGCAUGAGACUUGAGAGCACAUCUUUGAUAGAAGUUGAAAAUGUUUUUCACUUUAUUUGAAUUAGUAGAUAGUUGAAAUUGCUUUAAAUAUUUAUAACUGUCUUGCUUGUUUUAUAAAAGAUUAUUUUAGAGAAAUAUAAAUCGAAGUCAGUCAAACUAUACAUUAUAUCUAAGUCAAGAAAUUUAUGAGUUGAGACUUUGGAAAAUGCUUAAAUACUACUUUUAAAUUCAAAUGGUCUAGGAAUUUGUAGAAGUUCACCAGUUUUGAAUAUCGGGAGUAUUUUGUUGCUGUCUCUUCCCCACUCCCUCUUUGUGUCUUCCCCUUUAUUUCCACUUCCAUAUACAGCGAAGUUCAUUUAUAGAGAACAUGGAGAUAUAGAAAAAAAGUUCAAUCCUUAAAUUGAAUCUUUGCUAUGUUAAUUCUCCAUUAGCAAUCAAAUGUAUUGUACUUUUAAAAGUCUCUUCAUUAACUCAAUUGCUAAACUCCUGCUUUGUUUUAGGAACGUGAAGAAAGAAAGAGACGGUUGAAAAGAGAACGUUCAGAUGACAGGCCCAUGCAAGUAUCACAGCCACCUGGAUGUGAUCAUUUUUUCCACAAUAAGAUCCUUAAAUCAUAUGAUAGAAGUAAGCUUCCUCCGGGUAAGAAUCGCUGCCUUACUGGUGGUAAUUGUAUCAUUCAUAUUUUGUUAUUUUCAAAUUUAUUAUUUUCAAAUAAUACUGUUCUUUAUAUAAGUUGUAAAUGAGUUUGCUCCUUAUACAGUUCCAUUUAUAUACUUAUGUUGGACGUUUCUUUGGGAUUUUAUUAAAUGUUCGUUAAUGCUACUUGCUUAAUUUAUUUUACAAUUUGUUUGGGUGAAUAAAUUUGGCUUGUUAUUUUGUAAAAGUUAUAACCAGUUUGAGUUCUUUUGGGGCUAUGAGUGGACAUUGAGUGAGUAAUCCAAUCAAAUACAUAAAAUGAUGAUGGAUAGCUAUGUUAUAUUCUCCUUAAGACAAUUGAUAUAUUUAUGAUUUAUUUUAAUGUGACAGAUUAUGAUUGUUGUCAAUGCUAGUAAAAAAUAAUUUUUCAUUAUAUUAUUUACAUGCAGGUUGGUUGGAUUGCCCUUCGUCUGGCCAAGAAAUUUUUGGCAUGAUACCUUCCAAGGUUCCACUGGGUGAAUCCUUCAAUGACUACAUUUUUCCUGGUAAAAGAUACUCAUUUAAACAAGUGAUACAUCAACAGAGAGUUUUAGGGAGAAAAGUAAGUAGAGUUUGUUUUCUUUUCUUUUCCAUAUAAGUUUUAGCACAAGAGUGACCAAAAUGAAAGGAAUUAUAGAUUCUUGAAUAAGAAUGAAAGAAGAAAAAGAAUGCCACAAACUAGUUUUUUAAAGAAUUGCAUGUUGCUACUUGUCAUAAGUACCACAAUUUAUUUUGUACCCGCCCUUGGCUUGCUUCAUUUGACUGCUUUUUUUACAGUUUGUUGUGUUGGCUUGCAGCUUGGUCUGGUCAUUGAUUUAACAAAUACUUCUCGAUACUAUCCAGUAUCAGAUCUAAAGAAAGAGGGUAUCAAGCAUGUUAAGGUUUGUUGUGGACAACCUUCUCACCAACCAUAUUUUCUUUUUAAGUAAAUAUUAUGUCUUUAAAGCUGUGGCUCCUUUUUCUUGUUCUUACAUUUGAAGAUCAUGGUUAUGGUUUAGAUCCAAUGCAAGGGCCGCGGUUCAGUACCUGAUAAUUCAUCUGUUAAUCAUUUUGUCUAUGAGGUUUGUUUCUUUCUUAAUAGUAUUGUUGUAGUUUUUCUGAGUUGUUUUGAAGAAUAUGGUUUCUAUUUCUCUUGCUAGCUUGCUGCUGUUUACAUGAAUAAACAUAUACGUUACCUCAGAAACAAGCUCCAGUUAUAGGAAUUAUUGAUACUUUCAGAACUACGUGUUGCAUUAAUUUCAUAUUAUUUUAGGCUAGUAUAUAUUGAAAGCGUGCAAAUUUAAUUGCUUUACCAUCUGAAUUUCAUUUCAAUUGUUAGAUAAUAUUAUGUUCUAUCUAAUCUAACUUACAAUUAAUCGGUUUUAUAUAUUAAUAUUAUAUAUUUCUUUAUUCUUCAACACUGUUUUAUAAUUUCAUGCUCAUAUGUUAUGUGAUUUUUUAUUUAACAUUUUGAUCAAAAGUUUCUACCCAUAUGAUUAUUUUCAAUUCCAGGUUUUACAAUUUUUAUCACGUCAAAAACACUCGAAGAAGUAUAUACUUGUUCAUUGUACACAUGGUCAUAAUCGUACUGGAUAUAUGAUCAUCCAUUAUCUGAUGCGCACAAUGUCAAUGUCUGUUACUCAGGUGAGCAUUGGAGUUGCUAUAUGAUUUCAUAUCUCUAUGUAAUGUUGCACAUGUUCUGUAUUUAUACUCGUUGGUUUUCCUUUUUUGCAGGCGAUAAAAAUAUUUUCUGAUGCACGUCCUCCAGGAAUCUAUAAACCUGAGUAUAUUGAUUCAUUAUAUAAAUUUUAUCAUGAAAAGAAGCCUGAAAUGAUAGUUUGUCCUCCUACUCCGGAGUGGAAGAGGACUCCCGAACUUGUUGAUCUCAAUGGUGAAGCAGCUCCAGAUAAUGAUGAUGAUGAUGAUGAUGAUGGAGUACCAGGUCCUCCUUUGCAGGUAUGGAUCUUAUAGAAAAUGAAUUCUGAUAUUUUGUUUCCUAUGAUAUCUCAUUAUACGAAUAGGUUGUUGAUCUUCUGGUGUGUUUUCAACUUUUCAUUCAAGUCUCAUUUCAGUUUUCCUAUUAGUUUUAACACAUGGUUUGGGUUUAGAGGGGCAGCUCGAAGAUUUAUCUAUUUAUUUUCAGCUAAACCUGUAAAGCAUAAUAUUCUAAAAUCCUUUUUUAGGGAGAGGUGGGGGUACCCACUGCACCAUCCAUAUAUUUGGGUUGUCUAUUAUCAUUGUUAUGUACAUCAUACAGCUUGAGUUCAGAAACAGUGGUCCAAUUGUUUCCACGUUGUAGGGUGGGGAUUUUCCUUUGGAUUAAGUUUUUAAUGUUCUGGAUGUAUGUUGGUUGUGCCCCCUUUAGGUUUGAGCAGAUUGUAUCAGUUUUUCUAGGUUUCGGAAAGAAAUAAGGGACCAAAAUUUGGUAUAUGGUUGUGUUUGCCACAUUUAAUUAUCACUUAUCUUUUGCCCAUGGAUAUUUCAAGGGAUGUUUCCAUUUGCCUGAUGCGGAGAGGAUGAACAGCCUUGUUACAUGGUCAGAAAUUUUAAGUUUCCUCACUGUUCUUUUCUUUGUUUUGGGUGUUAUUUUAGCCUCCUAGUUGUACUUUACUUCUUGUCUCUCUAUUUUAUAAUUUAAAAAUGGUGUCCAGAAAAAUUUAUGGGAUUUCUGAGUAAGUCAUUUGACUGUGUUUCCUCCUUUUCAUCUUUUCCUUGCGUCCAUUUUCACUCCCAUCAAGUGUGCCAUAACUGUUGCAGGUUCAUAUGUCAUUGAAGAUAACAUUGCACUUAUUGUGGUGUCUGAAUGAGUUUUACUUAAAUUUGGCCUGUCUUAGAUACCCUUAUAUGUUAUAUUAGUACAUUCUUGAACCUAGUUGUUAAUUUGUUUUGUACUUUGGAUCAAACAGUGUUUGAUAAACUGAGAGAAAAGAGAGAAAAAAGUCUGAAUCGGUGCUGAAUAUUGAGACUGAAUAUGAAUUAUUAUUGGGUUCUGAGGUAACCCCUAUUUAUAGAACUCACUGUGACUAUUAGACUAAGACUCUGAAACAGACUCUAACCAACUAUAACCGCCACUGACAGCUGUAACACUAACAGAAUUGAGAAGUAAUCGGGUAUAGUAGAGACUAUGUAAGGCCUCGAGAAAACUAACAGUUACAUGUGUAUACUCUUUUAGUAUCCUAUUGUCUGAUUGUUAUCAAAACUUGAUGUCUUUCCUAUUCUCUUAGGAGAACCACGAGAUUGAGACAAUAAUGACAAAUGAUGAUGUUUUGGGAGAUGAGAUACCUAAUGAUCAGCAAGAUGCAUUUCGGAAGUUCUGCUUUCAAAUACUCAAAUUGGGGGUUGGGGUAAGCCUUUUAAAUAUCUGUAUUUCAUGUGAGUUUAUUAUUUGGAUUUCUGUUGUGCUGACAAGUGACAACUCAGUGAUGUAAUUAAGAUGUUUUUAAUUUUAUUAACUUCCCUGCUUGUUUGUUAAAUUGCAUGGCAAGAAAUGAGUCAGUGGGGCUGUAUUCUGCAAGAUGUUACUCUAAUUAUUUGGUACUUCUUUAUGUUUGUCUCAUUGUUGGUCUUGGUUACAAUUGUGUGGUUGGACAAAAGCUGCUGAUAACAUGGUUUUGCUUUGCUUUGCUUUUCCCCCUUCUUUUUUAAUUAUGCUUUAUCUUAACUGCCGAUACAUGUUUUUAUUUUGCUCACCCUCCCUUUAAUUUUGAUUUACCUUAUUAAUGUAUCUCUUAUGCUUAUUAUAUUACCGUUUUUAUCAAUUUCUGUAAAUGCAGGCCAGAGGACACAUGCAAUUUCCGGGAUCGCACCCAGUUUCUUUAAACAGGUCCAACUUAACUGAGCCUUUAACAUACUAUAUUGUGAUAUGUUAUAAUAUUAAUUUAGUGGAAAACCUAAGGUUGCAAGUUAUUGAGCUACUAUACUUUCAUUUACCAUUCUUCUGUGCCUUAACAAAUCAUAUGAUUAUGUUGGUAGUUAGAAUUGAAUUUUUUGUGUGCAUUUAUGUCCUUACAAAUUAUGUAAGACUGGAAAUGAACAAACUAUGCUUAGGAGGGGAGGUUUGGGAGAGUUUAUACAGAUGUGGUCUAAGUUCCAAACAGUUGUUUUGUUGCAAUUAUACUAAUUAGUAAAUUUUUUCUAUAUUCUAUUAAAAUUCAAAUCUAUGUUCUAAAUUGGUCAUUUACUUUUAUGCUUCCAUAGUUUUGUAAAUGUAGUAAUUAAAGUUCCUUAUUGAUUUGGCCUUUUUAUCCAUAGUAUGUCAAAUGUUAAAUUUGGUUGCUUUGCAUGCAGGGAUAAUUUACAGCUGUUACGACAGCGUUACUACUAUGCAACAUGGAAAGCUGAUGGAACAAGAUAUAUGAUGCUAAUAACUAUGGAUGGGUGCUACUUGAUUGAUAGAAACUUCAAUUUUCGAAGGGUUCAAAUGAGGUUUCCUUGCAGGUUUACAAAUGAUGUAUGUCUGGUAUACUGCUAAUCCUGUUAAUUUAAAAUGGAACUUCUGAAUAUGUUGCUGUUUGAACUUAACGAUGCAAAAACUAAUAUGUUUAUAUCUUUGGCUUCCAAGGGCUUGGCUGAGAAGACUCACCACUUUACAUUACUGGAUGGGGAGAUGAUUAUUGAUACAUUGCCAGAUUCAAAGAAGCAGGAAAGGAGAUACCUAAUAUAUGAUCUGAUGGCAGUCAACUUCAUUUCGGUGAUAGAGGUUCAAUUCAUCUGUAAUUGCACAAUAUAAUACUGGAUGUUCUCAUUUUGGUUUUGAUUAAUAUUGUUCAAUAAUUGUGCCAUUAGGUGUAAUUUUAUUUCCAUAGUGGAAAAAUACUGAAAUUAAUGCAACCUUUUUUUUUCUUAAACUUAAUUUUUGUUGUGGUUAACUAAGCAAAUGCAACCCUAUUUUUCUAGAGAGCAUACUAGCUGUUUCUUUUAUGACCUUACAUAUCAGUUUUUUUCUUUUUAAUUAAUUUAUUUUCUAUGAAAGCAGUAUAGCAAUUUUUGACUCUGCUACCAAAUUGUUUUUCUUCCUCCUAGUGUAAACUUUCCAAUCAGCUUCUUGUGCAGUACUUUCUACUAGUGCAGUUUCUUUUAUGACCUUACAUAUCAGUUUUUUUUCUUUUUAAUUAAUUUAUUUUCUAUGAAAGCAGUAUAGCAAUUUUUGACUCUACUACCAAAUUGUUUUUCUUCCUCCUAGUGUAAACUUUCCAAUCAACUUCUUGUGCAGUACUUUCUACUAGUGCAGUUUCAAGGACAGGUUUAGAUGGUUUGGUGGGAUUUUUUGGUUCUAUUGGUGUGGAAUUUAUUGGUACUGUUGGUGUGGAAUUUAUUGGUUCUGCUGUUGCAGAAUUUCCCGAUUCGGCUGAUUCUGUAGGGGCAGGAUUUUCUGUUUCUGCUGCUGCAGUUUGUUCGACCAUCUCAAAACCCAAAAUAUGGAAUUCUAUUGUUUCUUUCGAGAUUAAGCUAUUCUCCCUCUGAAUUACAACUUUGGAGUAAUAAGGUUGAUUCUCAAAGGUCACAUCUGUAGUGUGGUAAAAUUUUCUGGUUGUCAGGGAGGAACACCUAUAUCCAUUUUGGUGAGGUGAGUAGCCAAGAAAAAUACAUUUGAUAGAUUUUGGGUCAAGUUUGCUGCGGAGAGGGUUUAAGUUGUGAACAAAGGCUGAACAACCAAGGAUUUUAAAUGGGAUUGAGGUGAGAACUCUGAUAGUUGGAAAAAUAGUUUGGAGAUGGAAUAGGGUGUGUCAAAAUUGAGGAUACGGGAAGACAUCCUAUUUAUGAGAUAGGUGGCUGAAAGGACAGCUUCUCCCCAAAACUAUUUUGGUAAAUUUGUGGCUAGCAUGAGAGAUCUUGUUACUUCCAGUAGAUGCCGAUUUUUCUUUCUGUGACCCCAUUUUGUUGGGGGUAUCUACACAUGAACUCUGGUGGACAAUUCCAUGGAUCUUAAGGCAAGACUCUAGUGUCGAACUAAAAUAUUCACAAUCAUUGUCGGUUUUGAGCACCUUAAUUUUUGUUUGGAAUUGUGUUUGCACCAUGGUGUGGAAAAACUCAAAUCAUUUUCCAACUUCUGAUUUCUCUUUCAUGAGAAAUAUCCAUGUAACUCUUGUGUGAUCAUCGAUGAAUGUAACAAACCAUUUAGCUCCAGUGAUGUUGCUAACCCGAGAUGUCCCCCAUACAUCACUGUGAGCUAAGGGGAAGGGUUUAUAUGGUUUAGGUGAGUAUGUGUUUUGGGUAUGCUUGGAUAACUAACACACUUCACGUUGAAAGUUCCUUAGGUUUUUACUGAAUAAUGAGGGAAACAAUUUCUCUAAGUACAUGAGAUUUGGGUGACCUAAUUGAUAGUGCCAUAAUAUUACAGACUCGUCACUAUUUGGAGAAACCACCGUACAAGAAUUGGCUUUGAGUUUUUUGGAGGAAUUUUCAACUUGCAAGUAGUAAAGUCCAGCACACUCUUUAGUACUGCCAAUUGUCUUUCCCGACUCCAAAAUUUGAAAUUCACACAGAUUGGGAAAAAAUUUAGCAACACAUCUCAAGUCUCUGGUCGGUUUGCUAAUAGACAACAAGUUGCAAUCAAGUUUGGGCACAUACAGUACAAAAUUUAGAGUAAUAUUUUUUGAAAUAAUAACAGAACUUGUACCAGUAACCCUUGGCAAGGUACCAUCAACAAUUUGAAUAGAGGAGUUAUCAUGAUGGGGAGAAUAAUUGUCAAAUAUUGUUAUACCUCCAGUCAUGUGAUCCCAAGGCUCCUGAAUCUAUGAUCCGUGAUUUUGGUUUUCCUUUGCUAGUGUGUAAAGCGUGUAAAAAAUUACCUUUUUGUGGUACUUAAGCUGUACCACAUUUUUCUGUAGUAAGAACAGUCUGCCGGAGCAUUUUCUACAAAGCCUCUAAUUGUUCUUUGCGGAAUGGAGAUGGAUCUUGUUUCUCUUCCAUUUCUUGUGGGUUGUGUGGUGCAUUGCCUCGGAUGUCCCUAUUGCAGAAUGGUUUUGACCUCUCCCAUUGAAGAUGGUUUUGGCCAUUCAACUUGUGGCCAGUGAUGAGAAGUUCAGUCCCUUCGAUUGAGCUGACAAGAUUUAUGCCAGUCUCUGUGGGUGAGACUUCUGUUUUGUCUUCUUCCAUGGCUGGGUCGAUGAAAGAGAUUAGGGAUGGUUCAGAUCUAGCUUUGAUACCAUGCGGAAAAGUGAUUGUUUAUUCACUUGAUAAUGAAACUGAUUACAUAAGGAGUAUAAAUAGUACAAGUAAUUUAAUUAUGUAUAAUCAAAAUAGAGUUGGAAAUUAGGAAACUGAUUCCCUAUAAAUGCUAUCCUAAAAGGAAAUAAAAAUAAAACUGAAAUCCUAAUUAAUACAUACUAAUAAUAACUAUACAGAUCAGAAUCUUAUGAUUCUGAUUUUUGAUCUUAUAAUCAACACUUUUACUUUUCUUUCUAUUUGCAUGAUUCUUGUUAAUCAUCCAAAGUUCUUGUUAAUGUAGCUUAUUGUUUGAUCUUUGUUGGCCAUAUAUUACGAUAUAUGAAAGUAGGGAUUUAGCAUGAAGGAAGGUUUUCAAAGUGUAUACAAGGAGGGAGAUGUAGAUGGAAGGAACUCAGCUAAUUAAUUCAGUUGGUGGUAUUAUAGGAACAACUGUUAUUUUAGUAAUUAGGUGUCUUUUAAUUUAUUAAUUAGGAGAAUUAUUAGGACUUAUUAGAGUAUCAUAGCUGCAAGGUAGUAAAAUACAGGAUAUAAGUAAGAACCAGGGAAGAAACGAAGAGAAAGAUAGAGAUGGACACUGAGGUAGACAGCUACUCAGUUACCACCCAAGGAUGCUGAAUAUUUACCAACACAGCGGAAUAUAAAGGAAUGUGAGAAACGGAUGACUGAAAUGCGAAGAUGGACAAUGCUGACAUGUCCUCUCUAUGUUUUGCACUUCUGGAUUUGUGUAUUUUAAAUAGAUCAUGAUGUGGUGUAUCUUUAAUUACAUUUUCUUAAAAGAUGAACCAUGUUGAAAUCAAUCUAACAUUUGGUUAUCAUAUUAAUCUUUACUUAAAAUGUCUGUAUGUCUUUUCUUCUAAUUAUUAUCCUUUAAAAUCUGUGUUUUCUUUUUCUUAUUAACAAAUUUAUGGUUAAUGUGGUUCAAACCUUGGUGCAGCGACCUUUCUGUGAACGGUGGAAGAUGCUUGAGAAGGAAGUGAUUGAACCCAGAAAUCAGGAACGGUACCAAGGCAAAAAUCCAUACUAUAGAUAUGACAUGGAGCCUUUCAGGGUAUGCAUUUCUUACCUGAAUAUUAGGCAUAUAACUCAAGCUUUAUUUUUCCUCUGGUAAUUGGGUGUUAAUAUAUCUGAAAUGAUUAGGUGAGGAGGAAAGCUUUUUGGUUGCUCUCUACUGUCACAAAACUUUUGAACGAAUUCAUUCCGAAACUCUCACAUGAUGCAGAUGGUCUCAUAUUUCAGGUGGGUAAUGGGUGUAGAUCAUUUUCAUUUGUAUUGAAUAUUGAUGAGAUUAUCUCUUCUGACCUGUGCAUAACUUUCUUCUUUUUCAAUGCCAAGAUAGCAAGUAACCAAUAUUUCAAUCACAUGGCUUUUAGCCUUUAAGAUAUUUGUUUUUCCCAUCGGAUUCUCUCUCACAUCAGGGUCUACAUACUACUAUAUCUUAAUCUAUGUUGUCAAUCCCGGCAAGAUCCCGCUGUCCCGGUGUGGUGGAGGGACUGGCCGCGAUGCCACCUAUCGGGAAAACGCAUUCGACGGUAGCUGCGCUCUCUGCCGCUAAUCCCGCUAUCACCGCGACCUGUUAUCCCAGCCCCGACCCGCUAUCGGACCCACUCUAGGGCAUUUUAAAAAACACAAGUUUUUAUUUUAUUUUUCAUUAAGGGUAUCUAAGUCAAUUUGCACAGCUUAAGCCCUUAUAUUUUAUUAUUAUAACCCACAAAGGGGUGGGUUUAGCAUCAAGAAAAAGAAACCAUUUUCGUUCUUCCUCUGUUUCAUUCUUCCUCUGUUUCAUUCUUUCUUUGCUGUUUUCGUUCUUUUCUUGUUCCAUUCAACAUCGUUUUUCAUUCUUUUUGUGACUGUUUUGUCUGCUCUGUUAUGUUGAUUACGAUUACUAUUAGAACUUGAUUUUGAUGUUAGAUUUUGGUUAUUAAGUAUGUUUACCCAUUUAAUUUUGUGUAUUUUGUUAUUUUUUUAGUAUUUUUGUAUAUCAUUUGUAUUUUAUGUUUAGUUUAUAUACUGUUUUUUUGGCCUUCGCAAUAGCGGUCAUCCCUCGAUCCUGCUAUCCCAUUUUGACGGUUCGGUGCUCUGCACCGCUAUAUGAGACUGACAACAUAGAUCUUAAUCAGAGAAUGGAUAUCCUUGUGGCUUCCAUAGUGAUCUUAAUAUGAUGUCCGAUCCAGUAAACGAGACAUUGUAUCUAGCCUAACUUACAGAGGAUCAAUGUUACCUAGACUAGCGUAUAGUCUAGGCGCAUUGGUCCAUUCGUUUAUUUCCUCCUUACCACACACAAAGUCUUUCCUUCUUCUUUCCCUCAUGUUAUUGAGGUUGUUACUGACAAUAUUUAUGAUCAGGGAUGGGACGACCCUUAUGUACCACGCACUCACGAAGGCCUCUUAAAGUGGAAAUAUGCUGAUCUGAAUUCAGUUGAUUUUCUCUUUGAGGUGAUAAUUUUCAACUUAUUACAUAUGUUGCUCUUGAUGUUUGGUCACUUCUAGUUUGUUGCUGAUGCACCCAACUAAUAUCUAGCUGCUUGUAUUUAAUAGAUUGAUGGUGAUCGUCAGCUGCUUUUUCUCCAUGAACGUGGAAAAAAGAAACUCAUGGAAGGGUAUAUUGUUGCAUUUGAAGGUCAGGAAGAUUUUUUUUAUUUCAUUACACCUGCCCAACUCAUUCAGUUUUGAUGUUAGUUGUUUGAAUAUCUACUAUGUAUUUUUAGAAUAUCAGGGUGUAUCUGAGAAUAUUUUAGAACAUCUUCAAAGAUAUUUAGAAUAUAGUGGAAUGAAUCAGUUAUGUCCUAAUUUUAUCUUGUUUCCUUAUUUUAACAUAUCAGUGGGCUUGUGCUUGGGCUAGUACUUACGCUUGUACUUUACCUAAACUAUUGUUAUAAAUAAAUAUAAAAAGAACAAUUUUGUUUUUUUAUGACAAAAUUUAGAGUGAGGGGAUAGUGCUCCAUUCCAAGGUAGGGAAGAUCUUACGACUCAUUGAGCACUUACAAAGGGUUUAUAUUUGUCUCCCUCCAAAGACAAUUGGUUAUUUAGUAUUGCAUUAUUACACUGCAUAUAAAUAUAAUAGACUAUUCUUUGAAGUUUUUACUACUUCUUCCACCCUCCUCUUUCCCCUACCUAAAUACUAUAAUUUCAACUAACUAAAGAAUUUCAUGCUUCAUUCUUUUUUAUUUUUUAAGUUAAAAUCAUUCUUCUUUUUUAGAAUAGGAAAUUGAAGUUUUAUUACGUCGAGUCAGGUCAUGGCUUCAUAUUUUUUUCUCAAGGUCAUGGCUUCAUAUUUUUUUCUCAAGGUCAUGGCUUCAUUUGUUUCUCAGUACUUACAAGUUCACAUGCUAAUUUGGUCACCAGACUGGUCAUUUUCUUAUCACUAACCAAUUUCUAACACCCACCAGAAAGUUGGGUAUGGGUAUUGGCGUCUAAGUUUCUCUGUGAUAAUAUUUCAGCAAUCUUAUUAUGAGCACAUGAUUUUGUUAUGUUUAUGUUUCUAAAUCUGCAAUUUGUCGAUUUUUUAGUUGCAUUAGGUUUGUUGCUAAUGCUUAAUGAAAAUCUAAAAUAUGCAGAAGGUUCAGACCCCUCUCUUUAUUCCGGAAAGAUCAUUGAGUGUGCUUGGGAUGGUGAUAGACAUGAAUGGAUAUUCAAGCGAAUCAGAACAGAUAAGUCAAAUCCCAAUGACUUUAAUACUUACAAAAAGGUCCUUCGCCAACUCCUUUGAUUUUAAAUUUCCCUUUUGUAUCUCAUUCUGUAUUCUGUAUAUCAUUUUAGCUAUUUGCUCAAUUUAUUGCAGGUGAUGCGAAGUAUAAGAGACAAUAUCACAGAGGAUAUCCUGUUGAAUGAAAUAAACGAGAUAAUCUGCCUUCCCAUGUACGCCGACAGGAUAAAAACUGAUAGCAAAGCACAUCUCCACACUAAUAUCGCUAGGCGAAGGUAAUCAAUGAGGAAUUCACGGUCUGCAAAUGUUUCACUGGUGGGAGAAUCAUACGUUGAAAGUGAACAUCUGGUGAAAGUCAACUCAAAAGGAGACCCAUUGAUGCUCUGCAAAACAUUCAUGUAAUUAGUUAGUUCUUAGUUAUCGCAGUAAUUGGUACCUCACAAAUUCAUGCAUGAAACCAUUUCCUAUGGUUGUUUAGAUGAAAAGUUAGAUUUAGGAUCUCAGUGUAUAUUAUCUUAUAAUUUUCUUUGUUAAGUAGUGAUUAUAAACUGUUGAAAGGGUAGUUGUUUAUUAUAUUCAAGUUUUCAUUACAUUGGUCAGAAUAUUCCCUGUAUGUGAAUAUUAAUUUGGGAAAAGUACUAAUGAGCAUUCCAUUCUCUCCUGUGUUGAAAUUAUUCUGCAUUUACCUCCUCAGUGUAAACUAUGUAAGAUGAACUUAUCAAGUCAUUUCAACAGCGUAUUAUUCUCAAGAAUAUCAAGUAGUAGCCCAUUUAUAAGUAUCAAAGGUUGUAAUAUUCUGAAAGGGUGUAGAGGGAGGUGACAUCAAUUGUGCUUUAAAUAUUUUUGGUAGAGAUGAAGAUAUAAAUGUGGUUAAUUGGAAGCUGGAAAGCUCCCUUUGAUGAAUAUUUUUGCUUACAAAAAAAAGUUGGAAGUUGGAAAGGAACUAAUUCUCAUAAGCAAAUUAAAUUUUUAUAAUCAAUACAAGGCUAGAAAAUAUUUUUAAGAUUUCAAUGGUUGAAGUUAACCUCACUCAAAAGUGGACCGCUUAAUGCCUUCUUAACUAAUCUCCUUUUUAUUUUGUGGUUUGCAAAAUGAUUACUUGGAAAGAUGGUGCAUCUUUUUGUCAAAGGAAAAAUGGUAUUUAAGCAGCCAAAAAAUAAUCGCAGGUUACCCCCACAAAUUCAUUCCUGCACCUUCACAACUCUGUUAUACAUCUUUACUGAAAUUAAAUAUACUUAUCUUUGUACAUUCCCAUAUAGUUUUUGUUUCAGUUAUUUUUGGGAUGUCUGUUUUUGUUAUAUGAUUUUUCUUAAAUAUCCUUACCAUUGUGCACUACCACAGUUCUAUCUGUGUAGGGGAUGCGUGAUAUACACCAAUAGUUUAGCAGAUCUUAGCAUUACGUACACACUUUGGAGGUCUUAUCUUUCCUCACUUAGCCUCUAUCCAAUGGACGCCAAUUGGAGUUUUAAUCAGUUGUGAAUCAAUCAAAUCCAAUGGAUGCCAAUUGGAGUUUUAUUCAGUUUUGAAUCAAUCAAAGGGAAAGUAGCAAUAGAAGAUCAUACAACUUUUUGGUUCUUUUUAUGUGCACCCAAAACUGAAAAAAGUGGGUCAAUGAAUGUUGAUCCAGUUAGUCAAGAGUUGACUUAUACCCCACAAUGAUGUGAGUUCAAUAACUGUUAUCGAUACGAGGACUUCCUUGGUUGAUAAUCUAUUAGUACAUGAGAGUCGAAAAUGGAAGUGAGCAUGACAAGGAGUUAGAAAAAUUAGCCUUCAAGAAAGAUGCAUUUCGGUAAAGAAAAAGUUGUGGUGUGUGUGAAAAUGAUAGUAAGGGAAAGUUGUACGUUGCAUUAGACAGAACACACCACAUAAAAAUGUUAUUAUUUUGUUACAAUUUCAAGUAGCGUUAUGCUUCAUAUCAUGCUAUUAAAAUUUUUGAACACUAUACAAUCUUGUCCUUGAAGAUUGGCUAGCCAACCAUGAAACACCUACAUCCCCGCUGCACGACCACUUAUGAAUCCAUCUGCACUUCAAACUUCCUUGUACCGGAAGCUCAAAAUCAUAAACUGACAAACCUGCAGACACAUCAUAACAAAAUGAAGUUACUUUUCUUCAAAUGAAUUACUGCAAAUAUCAUAACAAGCUAAUAACCUUAUAGAAUAUAGACAAUUUAAACAUACAGAAUAACAGCUUUCAAAAGCUGAUAAUUCUAGGUUAGAAAACUUAAAACUUAAAAAAAAAAAAAGGCGAUUUUCCAAAAUACAGCAACAAAUUCCUGCUCAAAGAAAGAAAUGAACUCUUUGCUUCCAAACAAGAAGCCACAAAUAGGUAUCUAAUCACAUAAGUAGUUCUCAAUCAAUGAUGCAAUGAACAAUAGAUUACAAUUUACACUUGACCAAUUUGAAAGAUUUAUUGAAGUGAACUCUGACAGAGAAGAAAACACUUGAAGACUCUGACAACAGAAAAGUAUACUUCAUCAUCAAGUAAAUGCACAAAGAGACUUCAAAAAAAAAAAGAUUUAUUUAGAGAUGAAAGCUAAUUCACUUUCUGAAACUCUAGAGUCAACCAAAUAAACAAAGUUUAAGAUUAAAUCAAAAGGAAAGGAAAAAAAUAGGAGACUUCAUAGCACAGUACUGUAAUGUAGAAGCAAAGAUAACUAAAAGCCUUUCACAUCAUCCUAUUGAAAUCUUUUUGAGGUUAUGAUGGUUGCCACUAUCCAACGGAAUUAGCUCACAAAAUAAAUUCUUCUAUUAAACAAUGUUACACUGAUGGACAACAGAUUUUUCACAAAUUUCUAACUGAAAUUUAAAAUUGUAAAUAUUCACUAACUCUGCUCCUGUUUUAUGUUUCUGCAGUGCAAUGUGUGCUUAGUAAAUGUUAUUUCAUUCGAUUUCAAGGGUUACAACCAUUCAUAUCAACCUAAGAUAUAAAACUUGGACAGGUCAUUGACGUGGCCAUUGUACUUAGUCAAUAUUACAAAUUAUAAAAAAAAAUUGUAACUGUAAAUUUCAUAGUUGGAAAAAUUCCAAAAUAGAUUCACAUCACACUUAAACAUUUCAUAGUCAUACUACACUUGAGUAGACAUUCACAAAGUUAUUUUGAAUUGUAUGAUUCUGAUGUGGAACAUCAUUUAUGACUGUUACAAUGACUCAGCGGCCAAGUCACCGGUUUUCUUAUCAAAUCAGUCAAUUCAAACUAGAUUUCAUCAGUUCCCACAUAUUUCCGAUCUAAUUAGUGGCUUGGACCAGUCACAUGAUCGAUUAUGGGUCAAACAGGAUCGACCGGCUUGUUCAAACCGUUCUUCCAUCAAUGUAAUCAACACAAUUUCAACAUCUAUGUAACUGAACAUAUAGCACAACUCAACCCAAAUUCCGCGACUCCAACACAUUAGUUUCAUUAAUAACAUUUUGCCUAUCCAAAAAAAAUUCAGCAAAAUCAUCCACAGCCAAUCAUGAAACCAAUCAAGCCAAUAACACAAACAUGGCUAACAACUCUAUAAAGGGUUAAAAAUAAAGGUUAUUGAAACAAACAAAUACCUACACAGAAGUUCAAGAUGCAAACUCACCUAAAACAACAAGGACCAAGCUUAACAUAUAAAAAAUCAGAACCCUUGCAACACAGGUCUUUUUCCAAGCCUCUUGAUCUCUCUAUCCAUUUUUCCAGUAAGCAUCAAUCCAAACAUUUUGUAAUCACACAAAAAUGACCAAAAGGGGUGUCCAAAAGUAGCUGGAACAUUCUUUUCAACAAAGAAAUGACUAUACCAUGCACAUCCAUAACCAGAUAAAGGAACAAAGAACAAAAACCACCAACUGAAGAAAAUAGAAAACAUCAAGAAGAAAAUACUCAAAAACGUUCCCACAAAGUGCCAAUGUCUUGUAGCCCUUUUUGAAUGUUGGCUCACAUAAAAAGCCCAGAAAUCUUCUAAGCUUCUGAAAUUCAUUGGGUUCAUAAAAACAUAAACAAAAUCAGAUUUUUUUAAGAACCCAAUUGAGAAAAAGGGUGAAAAUCUAAUUCGGGUGUGAAAUUGAAAGAAUUUAGAUACAAAAAAAAAGUUGGGUGGUUUAUGAAAGUGUGAAUUUGGAAAUAAAGUUGGAAUUUUGAUGGGGAAGGGAAAUUGGGGGCAUUGAAUUCCACGGAAAUGUGUUGUGUUGCUUUGUGUGUGUCGUGUAUGGUUUUGAUUGGAUCGAUGAUAUGAAGGGAACUUCAAGGUCAAGACUUCUUCUCAAUCCUAUCUUUUAUAGUUUGCCAUUUUCUUUAUUUGGAAAAAAUUAAACAAAAAAAUAAUAAUAACUUUUAUGCAUUUAAUUUUAAGAUGUAAUUUUUGUAUGGACAUGCAUCUAUAAUUAGGCAAAAAUUACAUCGACACUCUUUAAUUUAUAAAAAAUUGAAGUUUCAAGUAAGUUAUUUUUUACGUGUCUAAUUAGUCAUUUCUCAUAUUAAAUUAGUUUUUUAUAUUCAAAAAUGCUAUUAAGGUUGAAUCACAUGUAUAUUAUAAAAAAUCUUACUUACUUGAAUAAAAGUAAAUUGUAUAUAUAAUUUAUUGCGAUAAAUUUUAAAUUGCAUUAUAAUUAACAUAAUCUUUUUUUAACUUUUAUUUAACAUUGAAAUUUUAACAUAAACAUUUUGUGUGUGUUAAAAACUAGAGUCUAGUUUAGGGAUGACAAUGGGUAGGGUACUAUAGUAUUCGUCCCCGUACCCGCAGUUUAAAAAAAUAUACAUAUCUUUGGGUACUUAAGUGUCUGUACCCAUAUUCAUUACCUACACUUUAACUAAAAUACAUCGAUAAAUAAAUAAUAUUGUUGUGAUUAAAUUCAAAAAUUAUUCAAAAAUUUUAACUCCAAUCAUAAAGUAUUAUAAAUCAAAAUAUGUUAUAACUCAACAUUUCAAAUGAACACUAGUUACAAUACACAUUCUAAUAUUCGUAGUAAUAAUUUAUGAAGUUGCAAGUUCUACGAUAAUAUUAUUCGAGAUCUUUAAAAACAAUUGAUAGAAAAUUGCAAAUAUAAUUAUAAAGUCACGAUUAAUAAGACACAACUCUUAAUUAUAAGGUCACAAUUAUUUACAUAUUCAUCAUAAUCAAUUUUUUAAAAAGUUUGCAAACGUUUAUCUUUCAAUUAUAAAUAUUGUAGUGGUCCAAUGAUAUUAAUAGAUGUUAAAACAUAAAAGAAAAAAAUUAAUUAAACUAAACACUAAUAUAAUAAAUAAGUAAAUAAUAUAUUUAUAUAAGUGCAGGUGCGGGGCGGGGUGAGUACUAUAGUACCCGGCACUCACACCCGCUUAAUUUUGUGGGUAAUUACUUGUCUAUGUGCCCAUACCCAUUAAGCGGGUUUUACCCUACCCUUGUGGAUUUUUUUUGCGGGUACCUAUUGAAUCUGGGUCUAAUUGUCAUCCCUAGUUUAGUUAUAAUGACGAGUGAUGAUUUUUUUUAAAAAAGUAUUCUAAAGAAUAGAAGUUAAUUUAGUGGUAUAAAUACUUUUAAAGAUUAAUGACUAAUUUGAUACUAAAAAAGGCAAAAGACAAAAAUUGUUCUUCUCAAAGGUGUUUUAGCGACCUUACUGGUUUAUUUUCUUUCUUUUUUUAAGGUUUCGUCCGAUACUAUCUUCAUUUUGAAUUUAUGUUUAAUUUUUUUUUGUAGGAGAUUGCGAGGAAGCUCGUAAAAUUCGUUGGGCUAAAUGGAAGAAAAUUUGUCUUCUCUCGGAGAAAGAGGGUUUGAGAGUUCAUAGGAUGACAAGUUUUAAAUAUAUUUUAUAAGACAAAUGAGAUUAGCAUCUGAAAAAUAAUCAACUAGGUUUAUGGUUUAAAGUUUUGUCUCGUAAAUAUGGAUAAAUAGAAUUGGUGUUUUGUCUGUUUCAACUUUAGUGUCGAAUUGGUGGAAGACUUAGCUUCUGUGUACGAGGGAGAAAGUGUAGGUAAACUGGGUUGGUUUAGUGAUGAGUUGACAAGAAAUGUGGGUGAUGGGAGUCUUACCUCUUUUUGGAAAGAUAAUUGGUUGGAAGGAGGUGCUUUGUGGAACGUUUUAAUUGAAUGUUUGUUCUACUAGAAAAUAAAUCAAUCUUACUAACUGAGAUCAACAAUCUUGGUUGGGAUGUUGACAAGACAUGUUAGAGGUGGGAGAAUAAGUUUUAUUAUUUGAGAGGAGAAUUGUGUUGGAAUGUAGUGUUUUAUUGGAAACAGUUGUUUUUGUAGAAAAAUAUAGCCGAUAAGUGGACCAGAAGCUUAACCAUGAUGAUAUGUACUCUUUCAAGCCUGCUUAUCAUAUUUUAGCGGAUGCGUCGAGCGUGACAAAUGAAUCUUUGAGUGACAUUAUUUUGAAUAAAGUGGCUUAACUAAGUUUCUUUUUUCUUGUGAAAACUUGUGUCUAAUAGGUUACCUACACAAGAUAAUGUGGUUUCUCGUGGGUUGCAUGAGCAACGUUCAAUUUCAUGUGUUGGCAGGUGUGAUAGGACGAAAUCGACUCAACACUUAUUUUUUUAGCGUCAAAUUUUUGCUUGGAUAUGGACAAAUAUUUUAGUUUGACUUGGGACUAAAAGUGUUUUUCAGAGAGAAACCUCUCUUCAUAUGUGACAAUUCGAAGGUUUAUUUUUUUAUAACAAGAUAUCGCGUCAAAGACUUCGAAUCAUUUGGUUUGGAUGCGUCUAGACCAUUUGAAAGGCUCGUAAUGAUAUGUUUAAACAAGGUAUGGUCACAUCACUUAAUUAGUUGGAUCAUAUUAAAAUCACUUUCUUGGUGGUGUCUCAAAGCUAAAACUUUUUCUUAUGACUUCAAUCAUUGGUGGCAAUACCCUCUAGAAUGUCUUGGUAUCUUUUUGAAACUUAUCUCGGUUCUUCUUGAAUUGUGUCAUUGAGCUUUAUAGUGAGAUAUUGGUUAUGACGUUUAAGCGCUUUGUAAAUUGUUUUCGUUACUCUUGGCAUCUGUUAUGCUUUAAAUAACCCUCUUUUUAACAAUUGAUCAAAUCAUGAAUGAUUAAGAUUAAAAAAAAAAAUGCGACUUUUUUAUGUGAAUCAUGACCAUUCAUGUAUGAUUAUCUAGUUAAAAUUUAAUCACCUUAUAUUAAAAUUUCUCUCACUAAUUAAUUCAUCCCAUAUAUAUAUGGAGUGAAGAUUCGUUGACUUCAAGAACUCUAUGAUGAGUCACUACGCUCAAUAAUUCAAUAUUAACGAUAAAUUUCACUAAUUCAACGGUUAAAUUAAAAUUUCUUAUUGAGUAGAUCAAAUUCAUAAAUUUUAAUCAACGGUUGAAUUAAUGAAAUUUAUCGUUUAUAUUAAGUUAUUAAAUGGAGUAAUUUAUCUGAAACUUACUCUUGAAGUCAACGAAUCUCCAUAUAUAUAUAUAUAUAUAUAUAUAUAUUUGAUUAAUAAGAUGCUGUAUGAAGUAUGUGUAAAAAAUUCUAUAUUGAUAUAAUGAGAUAAAUGACUAAUUUGACAUUAAAAAGACAAAUUAUUUGUUUGGAAUUUUAAAUUAAUUUAUACUAAAAUCAUGUCUUUUAAGAUUGUUUAAUGAGGAAUUUUGUAUUUUUCUAUUUUUUAUUAUAUUUUAAAUAAUAUGUUAGAUUACAACAAAUGAUAAAUAUUUGAUUUGAGAUGUCAAACUCAUCACGUGAUGUUCUUGUAUUCUAUUUUUACUUAAUAAAAUAUAAUAAUAUUUUUAUUAAAUUAAUUUAUAAACUAUCUUCACAAAUAUUAGAUGUUUGUGGUAUGUGUAAAAAAGUUCUAUAUUGAUAGUAUAUAUAAAUAAGUCAUAAAACAAAAACAAAUGAACAACCCUUAGUAUAGUAAAAAGUAUGCAAAACUCUUAUGAAAAAGAUUGAUUGAUUUAUUUAUCAAGAUAUUACUUUGUAAGAUUAGAAUUUUAACAAAUAUUCAUAUAAUGAGAUUUAAUUGGAUAAUUGUAUAAAAGAAAAUAUUUUAUAUAUGAAGAGAGAUUAAUUAGCCAAUUAUAUUUAGUCAUCUAACUUCCCAACUAUCAUUUUAUUUAUCGUGCGUCUAAAUGUUUCACUUUUCCACAUAUUCUUUACUUUAUCGAUAUUUUUUUGUUUGGUCUCUUAAUUCACAUGUCUUGAGCAACCAAACUUAGAAAAUUACGUAAGCACUUAGUGAUGAACAAUUUCUUAAUACAGUUAGGGGUAGGAAGUUUUUACUCCACUGUAACAUUUGUGUCUAAAUAAUUUCUCUGUAAUUCUAUAUGUGACAUUUUUUAGUAGUCACAUAUUUGUGAAGUACUUUUAGCUGAAAAAUAUUACAAAUUUUUUUAUGAUAUGAAACUACAUAAGGGGUGAGAGUUCUCUUCAUUCAUUUCUUAUAGAAAAUUAAAUGAAACUUUGAAAUUCAUGUGUAGAACUCCAUCAGGGUAACUUUUCAAUGAGAAGAAAUCACAAAACUUGGUCUCCUGUGGCAAAAAGAUUCCAAAAAAUGGUGGUCACAACAUAGAGACCUGAUGUUAUAGUUAAGAAUGCCUGAAAUGAUCCCAACCAUUGGACAAAAUAACCAGUUCCAAUUGUGCUUAUGAUAGCUGCUAAAGUUCCAGCUGAAUUUGCUAUUCCUGUAAAUUGUAAUAGUUUUGUUAUUGUUAAAAGAAGAACUAUGAUGUAAAAACAAAGGCUUAAUUUACUUUUUAGCCCAUAAAAUAUAUACAUUUACUGAUUUUUGUUUCUAUAAAAAAAUUGUCGGCUUUAGUAUCUGAAAUACAAAAUGGAUCCUCUACCAUUGAUUUUAAGGUUUAGUCGGUUGUAGAACUUUAGAUGAAUUUUUUUCUUUAAUCUAAUUAGAUGAAUUUUUUCCGUUAAUCUAAUGGUCUACAAUUUGCUACAUCGUAAAACUAAGGAUAGAGGUUCAAGUCUCCUGAAACAUGGGAAAUAUUGUUUUUGAUCUUUAUCAUUUUGAUUUUAGUCCUUAUAUUAUUUGAUAAUGUUGAAAUUAGUCCAUAUAUAUAUAUAUAUAUAUAUAUAUCAUAUUCUAAGGACUAAAAUGAAUAAGUUCACAUAUGGAUUGGUUCCAACAUGCACAAAUGUUUAUAGGAAAUAAACAAUAAAGAUCAGAAACAACUUUUUCAAUAUUAAAGGGACUAAAAUUGAACGAAAGAAAGUUAUAGAAACUAAAACAAACAAAUAUGCAUAUUAUAUGGAAUAGAGAGAUAUUAAAGCCAAACACAAGGGAAAAAAAAAAAAAGAACAUUUCCAACAAAUUUGCUCAACUUCUUACCAUGUAGAAUUCCUGCAUACUGAGGAGCAAUGUCCUGAUCAUGUAAAAUGUAAAAAGUGUGAGCAUGUGAGGUUAAGGCCUCACUAUUAUAUUUGUAAGUUCAAUGAAAUGUCUUAAAUAUAUAAUAUAAUGGUUAAAGUUCGAUUUUUGUGUGGUAGACUUACUUGUAUGUUAAGCAUAAAUCCAGCUUGGCUGAAAGAGCUCAAACUCAAAGCUGCAGUCAAGAGUGUAGCAGCAAUUGUUGGUGUAUUUGCAUAAUUCAAGCAUAGCAAGGUCACAGCUGGCCCAAUAAAUCCAAUUGUCUGUAAUUGGACAUAUAUACAUUACUAAAAACAACAUGGUAAACAUGUUGUUACAUGAUAAAAGCUCUGAGGCGUUACAUAUUUUAGUCUCCACCAGUUAAUAUGAAUUUCAUCUGCUUUUUUUGGUCUAUAAUUGCUUCAAAAUGCAAACAUACAAAUUUUCACAAUCUUAAAAAUGUUUCUUAUGGAGAUACAAGUACAUUCUUAGGCGUGAUGAGGCUGAAAGAGUUACCUGCAUUAAUUUACGGACAAAUGUUGUAGGGUACCCUGCAUUGAUUAAGAAAUCUGAUGCAGUACCAGCUAGAUAACCUGAAAAUGCCAUUGUUGCCCAUGGAACUGCACUAAACCAUGCUGCCUGCUUCAAAUUCACAUUAUACACCUACAGAAAAAAAAAAAUAGUCCAAUGUUGAAUUUUGCAAGCUUCAAGAAUAUAUAUACCUUUACUUGUGUAUUUUACAUACAAGCUAGCUCAUUCUAGUAUCCAUAUUUUUUAAGCAAUAUAUGAAACAACAACAUAAUGUUAUUUAUUAUGGGUGCAAAGUAGUGGAGUCUCUCUCAUCCAAACUACAUCUUUUCCAUCUACUUGACUCGAACCUAAAACCUUGAUUCAGGGAUCUAAGUCGAGUUCAACUCGGACCAACGUAACGUUGGUAAGUUGUUUUUUAUUAUAAGUAACAAGAACAAACAGAAAGUAAUUACGCUUUUGAAAUAAACCGGCAUCCAAGAGAGGAGAACAAAGUAACCCUGCAAAUUAACCAAGGUUUCAUCAUCAGUAUACUUAAAAUUUGAUUUAUGAUAACAAGUUCUUCUCUUUCACACAAAAGCAACUAGAAACUCACCCAAUUGUUUGUUGCAUUGGCAAAUAUUAUAGCCCAUGAUGGUAAUUUUGAUAAAAUAAGGCCUAAUGGAGGAAACUUGUUAUUACUCUUUUUUGUAGAAAGAAUUUUACCAGCUUGGAUUAAUCUUAAUUCUGAUCUGCUGAUGAAAUUGCUUUCCAAAGGAUCAUCUGUAACUUGAUGUGUCCAUGCCAUCACCCAAAGCAAACCAAGAAAUGAGAAUAAUAUGAAUGGACCAUAAAUUCCAAUAGAGGAUAACAUAAUUGGUGUUAUCAACAAGCCUAUGACAUUGCCAAUAUGAAAUCCAGCCAUUGAAAUUCCAAAAGCAGUUGCUCUCUCAUUAUUUGGAAACCACCUAUUCAAAUUGAAAGAUUACAUCAGCUUUCAAAUUAUAGAGAACUGUUAGAACGGCAACCUUGGUUCAAAAGAAAAUAGAAAUGAAAAACGCAAACAAAAAGAACACAUGAGAUUUUAUCACAGAGUUCGGCCAAUUGUGUCUAUGUCUCUGACUGUAGAGUGACUGCAGUUCCUUUCUAUUAAUUUCAAGCUGAGGGAUUACAGUGUACAACUUGUGUUUAAACCCUACGGUUCAGUUCACAAGAUUACUUUUGAACUGCUCAAGCAACUUAUCCACUUAUAAGGAAACUAUGAGUCAUACACAACAAAAGCCUACUAAUAAGGUUGCAAUUGAAAAACUUGACAUUGAAGUAUAAACAAGCUAAACCAUGAUUGAAAUACUCAAAUUUUCAGUAUUUGGCUUACAAGGUAUGUAUAAAUAUUUAUGUUUAAGGAGAUUCUAGAGGCAUCACCUUGAUAAGAGAGUACUCAUGGACGGAAGAGCCACUCCUUCAGCUAGUCCAAAGAAAGCACGAAUUGCCAACAAGGCUAUUGUGGAAUGGUUGGCUGCUAAAGGUGUAAGAAGAGUUGCCAAAGACCACAACAAUACACCACAAGCCAUCACCCUUUUUCCUCCAUAUCUAUCUACCAAAGCUCCUCCAAUCACUGAAGAGAAUAUGUAACCCCACAGAAAAGAUGACUGAUAAAUGCAUGAAAUAUAUGAGCUUUAUGUUAGCCAGUGACUUCACCACAAACAAACAAAAACAGAAGAAAGCGGUUUUUGUUUUAAAUGAUACUGUCAUGUAUCAUAGUCAUAGGACACUAAAUGAAACUAUUAUACAUUUAAGACAAGGUAUUAGAAAAAGGUCUGCAACCACGAUCUGAGUCUCAACAUCAAAGUUUUUUAUGUUUCCGCCACAUCGAAUGUGAUUCUUUGUAAUAUUAAAGAUCUCUACACGGAGAUUAUUAAAAACCUUGGUUCUAGAAACUACAAACCAGUUUGGGCAUGGUAUAGAAUUGAACAAAAACAAAUGCUUGUCUUCAACUGAAUUCUUGAAAACAAACUUUUUACUGCCAAUCACUAGUAAAUUGAUUAAUUAGUAAGUAUUAGUAAUAAUAUAAUGAUUUGAUUCUUUUCAAAGAAGUAGUACUCCUUCCGAAGCCAUUCCCUAGAAUUGUGAAUUGUCCUUCUUAUGUGAAUUGUGUCAGUUUUUGUAAAACACUUACACAGACAGGACACUAACAAUGAAAUCUUGAUAAUAACUUAAAAAAGGAAAUGAUUAAAUAUAUCUAUACAUAUUGGUGUAGUGAUGGUGCAGGACAUUGACACAUGUCAGACAGUACACAAUCACGUCUUUGAUCUGAAGUGUUAGUUUCAUAUAUAUAGUUGAGUUUCCUAUAUUCAUGAUGAGAAGUUUUGGAAUGAUUAUUAUUAUGUAUAGUACCUGAACAAUGCCAAGAAAAGAACUAGACCAACCAUGUUUAGCAGCAAGAGGAACAACAGCAACUGACAUGACAACACGGUCAGCAUUACAAAGACACAUCACACAUGCCACCAAACACACAACCUUGUACCUCUCAGGAAUAUUACUAAUAACAUUAUUAAUACCAUCUUCUCCCACAAUCAUUCCUCCAUCUAUUCCUUCUGCAGUACACUUCACACUCAAUUUCGUUCUCUUUCUCUCCAACUCUUCCCUUCUUCCUCUCUUCCAUUCCAAUUUUUUGGACUCAAAAUCCAACUUGACAUUCCUAUGACUAACAAAACUCAAAUGAGGUAGUUCGAAUGAACUAUGACCUCUGUAGCACGGAUACCUCUUAUAGAAAGUGUGUCUGGUGUUGGAUAUGUGAAAUACUGAUGAGUUUGUAGCAGCAGCCAUAAUAAAGAUUAAUGACUUGUGAUUAUAAAAAAAAAUUAAUAUUUAAAUAAUGAUCACAAAUUCAUGAAUAAUUGAUGAAUUGUUGUUGGUGUUAAGGAAUAUAUUGGAGAAGAAUGAAGAAAAAAGGUUAUCUUUGUGUGUGAAAUUACAUGGUUGUGAAUGUGAUCAUUUUGUAUUAUACUCUAUUGGGUGAGUUUGGUGAAAUGAAAAUACAUUUAACAACCACAACAAGAAACAAAAAAAAAGACAAGUUUUUGUUUGUUAUAUAUUGUAGGGUUGGUGAGAAAAUGAAAAGACGUCAAACAAAAAAAAGAUUAUAUGUCUAUGUGUCCUUGUUAGGGAUGAGAAUAAGUCAGAUCACACUAGACCUAUUAUUAAUUUUUUAGGUUUAAGUCUAGCGGCAUAUCGUAGAUUUUUUUUUGCAUGACCUUUUUAAAAAUCUGGUCUGGAAACCUAUGUAAACACCUUAUUUAUAUUAAAACAAAUGUUCUAUUCAUACCACAUACCAAUAUCAACAUAUACAUAUCUAUAUAUAUUAAACAAAAAAUAAUUUUUUUAACUAAAUAAUUUUUAAAAAAUUUGAAACAAACAUCUUUUAAAUCUUAAAAAAUAAUUUUUAAUUUCACGAAUAAAUUUUUGUAUGAAACAAAUGUACCAAUUAUUACCUCUCAAACAAAUAUGGAACGACUACUUGAAUAAUUGACUAAUUCAAUGGCUACUGAAUAUAGAACGACUACCAAAUAUGGAAGGACUACCGAAUAUGGAAGGACUACUGAUUGCCUAAUUGAUAAAAUUUAAAAUAGGAAAUAAUAUUAUUAAUAUAAUAAUAGAAAAUAAUAUUGUUAAUAUAAUAAUAAAAAAUAAUAUUAAUAAAUAAUAAAAUAUAUAGGUCGGCUUGUGAUGCGUUUUUUUAUAAACCUAAAACUAACCUAUUUAAAUAAAUGACCUUUAAAAAUAACCUGAGCUUAACAUUUUUAUUAAAUAGGUCAGGUCAGACCAAGCCAGACCAUAGAUCAGGGCAUAGACCUAUGACGGACGACCUAACCUAUUCUCAUUUGUGAAGAAUGAAGACGCAAUACGAGUAAAGGGUAAUUGUGGAAUUUUGGGUUUCAUUUUAUAUUGUAAUAACGUAAAACGUAAUAACCGCAUUGUGUGCGUGGCACCACGUGCCUGGUAGUGAGCACACGUGCCUGGUAGUGAGCACACGUGCAAGGUAGCAACAUCAAUGACGCCAACAUCGUUUUCCACGAAAUCUUCUGCCUGUACAAUCAUUGACUUUUAUUUAUUUUAAUUAAAAAUUAAAAACAAACGGGGUAGUUAAGAACCGUGAGCUAUAAACGUAGUAUCUCUCGGUCAACGUUAAUUAAAAAAAUCAUUUUAAUUAAGGCAUUUGUUAUUCAUUGAGAGUUAAGGAGGAGUAAUCACGACAUUGUUUACAUAUACUAUAUGUAAUUUUUUCGUUCUCAUUUUAUAAUAUUAAUAUAAUAUUUAUUUAUUUAUUAUUAAUAUAUUUUUAUUUAUUGUAUUUUAAUUUAUUAAUUUUUUCAUUCACUAUAAUUAAUAAAAUAUUUAAAUAAAUAAAAUUUAUUUUAAUAUUAAAAUUAGCAGAAUAGAUUAUUUUAAAAAAAAUUGUGUACAAUUCAAAUAAGAGAAAUGAAACAACCUCAAUGAUAUUUUGGUCUUUUAAACUCCAUAUGAGUCUACUUACAACUCAAAUAUUUAAUCCCUUUAGUCUCGUAUAUCUAAAAAAAAAAAAAAAUUUAAGAAGAGAGAGAAAAAUUAGUUUUUUUUUUUUCAAAGUAGAAAAAAAACUAUAUUCUUUAAAUUGGAAUGCAAAAUAAAAGAAAAAAUAUGAGCGAAUUGUUAACAAAAUAUAAUGAAGUUGCUAAUUUAUUUGCAAUAGGUUUUAAAAUAGGAGAACAUUGUUAAAAUAUUAUAGCAAUUUUUUUAGUACAUCUAUUCCUAUUCAACCGUAUUAACUUUGAUGUAUUUAUUUUUUUCUUUAAUGUAUUUCAUUUGAUUUUAUUAAUAUAAUUUGAUUUUUUUUAUUAACUUUUAUUUAUGAAAUUAACUAUUAAUAAAUUGUUAAAAAAAAUAUGGCAACACAUAGUGAUAUCCCUAUAAUGCCUCCUCCUAUAGGAGAAAAAGAAAAUCUUUAGGUUGUCGCAUUCCUACCUUGCGACUUCUUGAAGGUAAAAAUAAGUAAAACUUUUCGUUUGUAAGUUUCAAUAUAAGGUAUAAUGGAGAGUUUUAAUUGAAAAUAGGAUAUAAGAGAAAAAAUAUCCUUAAUUAAAUGGUAUUUUAGAAAUUAUGACAUUAAAUAUAGUAGAAUUAGUCACACUUUAUUUAUGUUUAAGACCAUCAAAUAUGACAUUUUUGUUGCUUAGAUUUGAUGGAGGGGGUAUGUGGCAUUUUAAACCUUGUGUAAAUUAAUCCAAUAGAUUUGAUAUAGUAAAAAGACAGGUUUUAGAUCUUCAAAUUGUAGGUUCGAGUUCUAUUAGUGUCAUUGAAAUAGAACACAUAUAAAUACUUUGAACCAUUUCUUCAAAUUGCAUUUUGUGUCUGCUCUUGCUAUUGCUAUUGCUAAAGCUCAAGCACCUACUUUACCUAUUGUUGAUAAUGCUUUAAACAUUUGUUCUUUUGAUCUUCCGUAUUUUAAAUUGGGACAUCCUUCACAAAAUAUUUAAAAAUACUUGUGUUCAAGUUCCUUUUGUUAAAUAUGAUUCUCAUAGAAUUUGUGAGUAUUGUCAUUUGGAAAAAAAUCAACGAUUUAUUUCCCAAAAUUAUUUCUAAAUUUUUGCAUGUAUUUGAUCUUGUUUAUUUUGACAUUUUGGGACCUAUUUCUAUAAGUCAUGUUAAUGGCCAUCAAUAUUUUUAAAUGGUUGUUGAAAGCAUAUUUCGAUAGUUUUAAUUAAACACAAGAGGGGAAGCACGGCAACUUAUUGGGAACUUUGUUGCCUUGAUUUCUACUUAAUUCAACACCCCAGUUAAAAUAUUUUGUUCGGACAAUGACCUUGAACUUAUGAUGCCUUCUUUUUACAUUUUUUUUUGUGGGUAUUUUAAAUCAAAUUUCAAUGUGUGGAAAUUGUGAUACCCUAAACCCCAAAAUAACAUUUAUAAUAAUAUAUAUUAAAUUAUUUGAAGAAAACUUGCAGCGGAUAAAAAAAUCUGUUAAAGAAAAUAAAAAUUUUAAUAUCUAAUUUAGAAUAUCACGUUUCUCUAAAUACACAAGUAACAAUUCAACUUUUUUUUCCAAUUAAAAUAGUACAAUAUCAAUGAACUUGAUUCAACUAAAAUUUCUUGAUUUAAUUCCCAAGACUUACUCGUACUAAGUUUUCAUAUAAAAAAUCAUUUAUAAUAACAUAAGUAAAAUACACAUUACAACUCUUAAUUCGCGGUAUCACCUAUCAGAGCGGGGUUUCUCCCAAACUUGAACUUCGAGACUCAUUAACCAGUAAUAACCGCGAUUUUGCAAACGCAGUGCCAAACCAGUCAAACACAAACAACGAAGGAGGUGAGUUUUGAAAUCACGUUGAUAGUAUAAUAUAAAUAAGAUGAACACGCAAUUAAUUAUCAAUAAACUGUAUCAUUACACAAACAUUCUUCAAGGAAAAACAUCACAUUAUAUAGUCAAAAUCAAAGAAAAUCAAUGCACUUCAUUGUAACAUCAAACCAUGGCAUAAAUUAUUAUCACACAUAAUACAUAGUAAUCACAACAAAACAAUCACAAGAAAAUGCAAUGCUAUGCAUGAGCUUAGACUCUACUUCACAAUGUGGUACCAUUCUAACUCUGAAGUACUUGGUUAAGAGGCUUGAUACUAUGCCACCAUCCCGGUGGACGGACAAUUCAAAUUGGCCCUCUCCUCAUAGAUCCCCUCAACUCAACCCGAGACACAUAUACGUGACAGUCGAGGUAAACGUGUGUUAUGUGGUAGCUCCCGACAUUUGGAGUGCUACCUCCAAGUCACCUAGGAAUUCCCCACCCGAAUACCUCCAAGGUCUAACAAUCUUGCCUUAAGGCUCGACAACAGACCGCCACGAUCAGACUCAUUCAGUUGUACUUCCCCGAAAUCACUAGGCUUGUCAGGCUCUACCUAUAUGAUGACAAAAUAAUCUCCACGUCACAAAUUCACAAUAUUUAUUUUCUCCUCUCGUUGGUAUAUGAUACUCCAUUAAAACCAUCACCUCAAACACAAAUUGAAAUCACCAUUAUUUCAUCAACUAUGGGGUUAAUUCAAUAUUCUCAUCACGGUUUAGAACAUCACUAUCAUCAUCAUCACAUAAACUCAUCACAAAUUUAUAGCAUCACUAUCAUCAAUCAAACAUUAUCACAAAUUUAUAACGUCACAAUUAUUAAUCGUACAUCAUCAUCAUUACAUAAAACUAUCACAACACAUCCAUCUUUUGUUAUCACAUCGCAUAAACUCAUCUAAUCACACAUAUAUAAAUUUAAUUCGACACCCAAUAUCACAAUAAUAUCAAUAUCACACAUUCAAAUAAAUUAAAUCAAUCAACACCCUACAAAUAUUUCUAUUCUAUAUUUUAAUCUCACAAUUUCCAUAUUUUCAUAUUAAUUAAUUUAUCCCUCAAAGGGCUACUGCCAUACGUAGCGAGCCCCGAAUGAAUCGUUGGGAAAUACGGUUUUCCCGUUCAUCUCACAAUAUAUUACGCUCAUGAAUUCAAACGCUCUCUCACCCCUUACCUUAUUUUGACGCUUUCACACAUGAAUAUGAUUCCAUGAGUAAACAGCAUUUGUCCUUUGACUCUGUGUCCGUCAAUCGAUCUAACUCGACAAUUUAUGGAUAAAUGUCAAAAAUAAAUUAUGAGAAGACACUCUAAAAAUUAAAUUUCCAAAAUCGGUCAAGUAAACUUACCAUAAAUUAGAAAACUAAUCAGUGGAUAAUAUAACCACUUUUCACACGAUCGUUUUGGCGUUGAUUUCACUCAAAUCGGACUUACGGUGAAGAAGAACGAUGCAAAAUAAUGAAUUCUACAAACGAAGAAGUCGGGUAUUUUAGAGAGAAAUUGGAGUUGUUAAAAAUCUGGAAAAAUAUGUUUAAUCGACUAACUAAAUGUAUAAAAUAACAUACUGAAAUUUCAACGGAAACGGAGAAAAUUUUCUGAGACAGUUAUCGACCGUCGGUAUCAAUUUUCUUCUAUUUUUCCUCCAAUUCUUCUUGGGAGCCGUUGUCGCGUAACUUGCUCUCUCUCUCUCUCUCUCUAUUUUCUUUCUCUUUUAUUCUUUAAUUAGGUUUUACUUGGGCUUUACCCAUGAAAUACAUUUUAAUUUUUAAUUAUUUAUUUUUAAUAAAACUAACAACUACCCAAGUUAUUUUUUUAACACUUUUUUCUAACACAAUAUAAUUACUAAUACUUUGAAACUAAUACUUGAUAGAUUAGAGUAAUUAAAAUAAUCGACCUUUAAAAAAAUACAUAUUAUUAACAACUCAAAUUCCCAUAUUCAAAUUAAUCACUAUAAUUAUACUUAUUUUUCAAAAUACUCACGAUAUAAUAAUAUAUCAUUAGAGAAUAUUCAAAAUUAUAAAAUAAAUAAAUAUAACAACAAUAUUUUAUAUUAAUUACUAAAUCAUAAUAAAUAUAUAUAUAAUCACAAUUCCAAAAUAAGUAUAUAAAAGUAAAUAAAAUCAAACACAAUAUUACUAUUAUUUCAAGAUGAUUAUUUAUAAAAUAAAUAUUUGAAAUAAGAUAUCUUUGGAAAUGAUUAAAUAUAAUUAAGUGCAUAUUUAAUAUUAACCAAACACACGAGGAAAUAUGAUAUUAAUUAUCAAAACUACAUAUACACGUAAAAUCACCUAAAUCUUAUUCUUUAAAAUAUUUACACUAAUAUACUCUUAUUUUUUAGAAAAAUAUAUAAAAUAAUAAAAAUAUAACAUUAUUAUUUACAUCACUCGUUUAGUCAAAUAUGUAUAAAAUUAGCAUAUUGUAGAAAACACACAUAUAACAAAAAUUAAUCCAAAAAUUUAUCAACAUAUAUUAUAAAAUAAUUUUAACAUCAAAUUAUUUAUUAAAAUUAUAUUUAAUUAAUAAAAUAGUUUAUUAUAAAUUUUGGGGUGUUACAGAAAUCUCUAUCAACAAUUCUAGCUGUUGAGAGAAACUAUAAGACUCGUAAUUUAUUUAUAGCAAGAAUUACAUUUUACUGUCUAUUUGUUCAUUUUGUUUUCUAUUUUUUAUCCGUAUACUGUUUAUAUUGUCUGUUUAUUUAUUUAUUAAAAUUUGUUGUAACUUUGUUGUAACUUUGUUUGGCUUGCAAAUUGAUCAAUGAAAAAUUGUUCGGGUGCUUUUCGUGAUGUUAAAUGAUGAUGUGAAUGUCUUGGCAUUGUCGAAAUUUCAAAAAUACGAUUUAUAAGAAAACAGGCAAGAUAUAUUUCGUAUUCAAAUUUUAGCGAACUCUGAAUGCCACAAAAAUUUAGCCGAAAGCUUUAUAUAUCAAUUGUAAUGAGAAUUUGAUCUCAUUAUAUUUUUCUAAACUAACGAACAAAAAUAUCAUCGGAUAAAAAGUUUUCGUGAAAUUUUGAAAAGUUUUAAUUAGUAGAUUUAUUAUAUAAUUUUUUUUUUACCAAGAAAUUUAUAUGUGAGCGUUAUGCGACUCGCUUAAGAACGAACUUAGAGAUUGAGCGAGAUAAGGUGACUUAAAGAUCACAAAAUAUCUAGAUAUUUUUCUAGGAUAUUAAUAUUUUAAUGAGGGGUUAGUGAAAAUAUUUAGAUAUUUUCUUACUUUGUAGUAAUACUUUGUAAGGAUCAAUAUGAGCCACCUCAAUGUCUCUUUUGUGUGUGGACUAGAAGGACUUGUGUAAGAAGAAUUAGAUAGGAAAUGAUGACUUAGUAAGAUGUUGGGAAAAUAUUUUUGGAAACCAGAUUAAAAUUGUUCAUCAGAGAAUAUUUUAAUUGAAUUACAUCGAAUUUUUAUCGACAAAUAUUUUAUGAACUCCAAGGACACUUGAACAUGGGCGAAUCUCCGUCCACUCACCUCUUUACUUUAUUUUUCAUCUUCUCCCUAUAAAAAAAUAAUUUAGUUUUCUCUCAAAUUUUGUGGCCACUCACCUCUUCACUUUAUUUUUCAUCUUCUCCCUAUGAAAAAAUAAUUUAGUUUUCUCUCAAAUUUUGUGUGUCGGUAAUUGGGACCAAAACCUAAACAACCAUUUUACUAGUAGAUCAAAAUUUUUUGGUCCAUUUGUUUAAGAUUUUAAAAAAGUGAUUUUUACUUUAUAUUAAAAAAAAUAUUUUUAUGAAAAUUUAUUUAAAAAUAGUAGAAGUUUUUUUAGAUUCAUUUGUUACUAAUUAAAAAAAGUAAUUUUGACAUUCAAUAACUUAGAUAUUCAUUAUUAAAGAUUUUAACAUUAUAAAAAAAUCAUUUUUUUUUAAAAAAAAAGUAACUUUCAAAAAUAAUUUUUAUGAAGAGCUUCUCAAAAUAGCUUUACAUUUUAAUCAUUUUUUGAAAUUUCAUUAUCUAAAAAAAAAGUUAUAGAAAAUAGAUGAAAUACUUAAAAUCAUAUUUUAAGAUAAACUAUUCAAACCAAUUUUUCAAUUGAAGCUUUAUUUUUUAAAAUGUUAUAACAAAAAUAAACUUUGAGUUUUUAUUUUUUAUUUUUUUUAAAUAUAGUUGGAGUUUUGAAAAUUUCUUUCGUUAAUGUUGUAGAUUUAUAAGUUGUGAUAAUAUAUCUAAAAUAAAGUUUUGAUUUUUAACAUUUAAGUUUUUUUCAAAAAAAUGAACCAUGUUAAAAUAUGGUUUUUCUUUUGUAAAUGUUGUAGAACUACUUGUAAUAGUAAAGAAUCUAAAAGAAAAUUUUGGUUUUAGAAACUUUUAGAGUUUUAAAAAAAUAAUUGAUUUUAUACUAAGAUGAUUUUUCCUACACAAAUAUGAUAGAUCCAUGAAUUUGUGAUAGUAGAUCUAAAGAAAAAAAAAUCAAACUUGGAACAAUUUGAAGUUUUGCUCAAAAAAUGAAUUUAGGUUGGAAAUUUUGAUCUUUAAGUGUUUGUGUUUUUUAUUGUUGAAAAUGUUCUAAAAUAUGUAUUUAGAAUUAGAAUAAUAUUAUUGAAAUAUAAAACUUGACAUAAAAUGAGACACAAAUACAAUAUUUUUAUAUUUUAUGAAAAAUAAAACAUGACCCCAUUGUAUUUUAUACAGUAUUCUAUUUAUGUCCCAUUUUAUGUUUUAAUAAUAUUACUCUCAGAACUAAGGAUAAAAUAAAUUUUUGAAGAGAGAUUUUUCCCCCUAACUAGUAAUGGUCGAACCUAAAUCUAGAAAUUAGAUUUUUUCCCUUCCUAACUAGAGAUUUUUACUCCCAGAACUAAAGUUGUGAUCUUAGUAUUAAAAAUGGUUGAAAAUCUAAAGAGUUUUUAUUUAAUGUGUUGUAGAAAAUUUUAGAAUUUUGAAAAUAUUAGUAAAAUUGAAGUUUUGGUGAAAGUGGAGCUUGUCUAUGACUACUUGAUUAGUUUUCUAAAAAGGAAUUUGAAAACCAUAUAAAUGUUUUAGAAAGCAAUGAAGACUAAAACGUUUAAGUAACUUGUGAUUUCAAAAGGAUAAAACCCUAAUUUGUUUAGGCUUUUUCUGAGUAAUUUUUAGAGGUAAUCAAGUUGGAAAUAUUUGGAAAGCUCAAAUCUUGAAGAAUUUUAAAGUGUUGAAAGAUUUAUGUGUGUGAUAAUUUGAAAAUAGUCAAUUUAUGUCAAAGGAUGAAAUUUUAAAGUCGUGUUCUUUGAGAAAAAUAUUUGUAAGAAGAGUUAUGUAGAGUUUUAUGUUGAUAAGGUAUUUUGUCAUAAGUUGUUAAAUACAAAGAUUUGAAUUGAACUUCAAUAAUUAUAAAAAAUAAUUUGGAAACUUUCGAAGUAUGACAUAAGUGUUUUGAAAAGGAUUUGAAAUUCAUUUUCGCCUAAGGGCCUAAACAAAAGUCUUUUUGAAGUUAGGGAACCUAAUUAGGUAAGAAAACCUAAGAGAAAGUUAAACCCUAAUUGAUUUAUAUAGUGGUCAACCCUUAAGAUCAUUUGGGGUGAUGUUUUAGAAACUUGUAUUGAUUAAGAUGAUUGAUUGAUUUAAGGUACAAGGAAAAUGAAAGAUGUUGUUGGAAUCAUCAAAUAAGUUAUGUUGGUGUAGCGUAAGUUGCUUGUGUAAUAAAGCAUCAUCAAGGUAAAAAUUCUUUCUAAUGAUAUUGUAUAUGCUUGAAUGCAGAGUGCGUCUGUAUACAUGUUCAUUGUGCUAGUGAUGAAUAAAUGUGCACAUGUGAUUGUUUACUAUGUUUAUGAAUUUUAUUGAUGAUAAAGUAUCUUAUGUAUGCUAUGUGAAAAAGUGUUGAAGAAUUAUUAGUGUUUAAUGAGUAUUAAAAAUAUAAUAUUUUAAUAGCUCCAUUUACAUAAUAAUUUAUGUGAAUGAUUCAGAGUAUGCUCAUGCAUUUUAUAGUUAGUGAUGACCAUGAUGAACCACGAGGUGGUAUCAAAUGAUUGGAUGGUCCACCUUAUUCCUACAAUGUUCAUUGAGGCGUUCUAGUAUGUGAGAAACUGCACUAUAGUAAAUUGUACUAGUCUAUGAGAGAUUGCACCUCAGUAAAUAAUAUUGGUAUGUGAGAGAUUGUACAUUAUUGAUUUACACCCCUCGACGAGGAUUUGAAAUUAUAGAAUCAUGUUCAUUGACACUAUGAUGAUACUGCACCUCGAGGAGGAUUUGAAAUUCUUGAAUCAUGUCACAUGAGUCAUGUUUGUUAUAUGAUGAUAUAUUUAUUUGCAAGCUUGUUUAUCAAUUGAUACUAUGCCAUGUUAAGUUUUUGUGCUUUGUAUUUUUGUAUAAAUGUUGUUUUUAGAUUGCGAUCAUCUAUUAUUAUUGUGCGGGAAUUGCAACGUCGUCGAAGACAUGACAAAACGAUGAUUUGGAUUGGCAAUUAGAAAUAAUGAGAUUUGAUGCCACAUGUGGGUUUUAUGUUUAGAGUUUCAAGAUUAGCUUAGGGUUUUAUUAAGAGCUUUGUUUAUUUUCUCUUCCUUUUUGAAAUGUUGUUAUUGCAAUGAAAAUUCUUUAUUUGAAACUAUUGUGACUUUUUUUUUGUUCAAUGUGAAAUGAUCGACCGUAAGUAAGUUAGUUGUGUCGAAAUCAUUUUAUAAAAUGCGGCAACCAUUCUAUUUGUCGCUUUAGGAUAAUAAUCUUGCAAUUAAAUAUUUUUUUCAUAUUUUAAAUUAAACAAAGAUUAUGAAUAUUUUAUCCAUAAGUGUUAGUUGCUUAAAAAAAAUUAUACUCUCGCUAUUAAAAUGAGAGUGUUAUAAGAAGCAUAAACACAUUUUAAAUGUAUCAAAAUCUCUUAUUUUCAUACUAACUUAUCACAAUACUUAUGUUGUUAGUCAUGAUAUGUUUUUAAUCAACAUGUAAAUAAAACAUCUUUUGAAUUAUUGUAUAAUGUUCCUCCUACUUUGAUAGGCUUAAAAUAUUUUGACAUCUUAUGUUUUGUUUAUAUUCUUAUAACAACAUAAAUAAGUUUUCCUUUAGGGCUAAUAAGUGUGUUUUUCUUGGUUUCAAACGUGGAACUAAAAAAUACAUUGUGAUUGAUUUGCACUUUAGGAAUAUUUCAAUUUCUUGAUCGGAUAUAUUUUCCGAAAAUAUUUUUCCUUAUUAUUCGUCUCAAAGUGUUUCUAAUUAUUCUACUAAUUGGUAAUGUUUUGAUUAUAAUUUUUGGUCACCGCCUAACUUGAUCAAUCAUCUUAUUCUUUUUCUUAUCCUAAUGUCGCAACUUGUAAAUCAAUUAAGAAACCUACCCAUUCUUCCCACAUAAUGUUUUCAUUACUAUCAUUUGACAAAACCUUUUAUUCAUGAUUCCUGAAUUACUUCCUUCCCUCUUUCUUCUUCUUCUUUUUUUUUUUUUAUAAGUUCAUUUGUGUUAUUGGAUUAACAUUUUCUUUCAACGAUGAGUCGAAUUGUUACACUCACGCAUCCAAAAUCCUUUAUUAGGGCAAUGAAUGAUGAACUUCAAGCCUUGCAUGAUAAUAAUACUUGAAUAAUCAUUCAACUUCUACGUGUCAAGAUUCCUAUAUGAUGGAAAUGGGUAUACAAAACCAAAUUUUAUUAUGAUAGUUCUAUAGAACGUUAAAUAGAGUUCCCAUUUGCCAAAGGUGUUAGAACCAGGAUGGUUUGGAGGAUAAGUUUCUUAUCUUGUUUUGAUGAUAACAAAAUGUUUUUUUAUGGAACAAUUUAAUGCACUAAUAAUUUAAUUUGAGUGUGCAAAAAAUAAGAUAUAAGAAAACCCAUAAAUAAGAGGAAACACGCAGGAUCAGAGGAAACAACUCAGAUCAGUGAAAUCUCAUCAAAUAAGAGGAAACACAUCCACCAAAGGAUAUCACCAGAGGAAAAGAAACAAUCAGAAGCAAACAUAUCAGAGGAAAAGAAACAAUCAAAAGCAAACAUAUCAAAGGAAAUAAAAUAAUCAUAAGCAAACAUAUCAGAGAAAAGGAACAACAUGUGCCCUUCACUGUGAUGUGCAUCAGAGGAAGCAAACAAAUUAAGAGGAAAUGGAAUAGAAAGACAUAUAAGAGGAAAUGAACAACACAUGUUCUUCGUUGUGUUGCGUAUCAGAUGAAGCAAGCAGACUAAGAGGAAAUGGAAUAAAAGGACGAAUUGAGGAAAUGAACAACAUGUGCCCUUCGCGGUCUCCAAAGGAAAUGCUUCUAAGGAUCUGCCUCUGUCUCUAAGUAUUUGAGUCUAAGGAUCUGCCUCUGCCUCUAAGUAUCUAAGUCUAAGGAUCUGCCUUUGCCUCAAAGGUUUCACCUAUGAAGAUAAGACUUUGAAGUCAAGUACAACAUGCUCCAAUAAGUUGCUUCCAACAAAGCAACAAAGGCAAGCAUCUGAUUCUGAUGUAUAAUGCUGACUUUGCCUAUAAUAAGUUGACUCUGGCCAGUAAUUCAACACCAGAAGAUUGUGUCUGAUUAUGAUGAAAAGGCAACCCAACAAGAAAAGUAAACAUAACAUGAAAAAGUCGAUAUCAUUUUUCAUGGUUAAAAAAGUCAACGACUCUAACUUUGAUCAAAGUCGUGACUUUAGAAGUUAACUUCGAAGACACACAUUCUACACACGACUCAUAAAUAUAAUCUAAUGAAGGUUCGCUGCCUCUAAUACUGAAGAUUCAAAUGUCCAAGCCGUUACCUUUGUCCACACUUAAAUGGAUUAAAGUGUCUAGUUAGUUACAUUCUUAAAUUGCACUGAAUUGAAUGUCUCCUCAAAUAGAAACAGACCAAUUCAAAUUCACGAGAAUAGAUCUAUGCAAUCAAAGAUAGAACAUCUUGAAAUCAAAGCAACAAUCAUUAGAAUUUGAAUGCAACGAGAAGAUUAAAGAAACCAUAAUUAAAUAAUUUGAACGUUGGAAGAAGAAGUUGGAAGAAGAAGUAAUUUGAACAGCUCAAACAAUUGACAUCUAUAAAUGGUUCUCACCACUUGAGGAACAAAAACACAACCAUAUGCAAUAAGACAACAAAGUUGAACACGACAACUACAACAACAAAUCACUUAGAAAUUAUUUAGCACUACAUUAUAUCAUUAUCUUUAUUGUGCUAAGUUUGUGAGUUUAAAUUUCAUAUGCUCUAAUUGAGAGAAACUCAAAAACAAAACACUUGUGUAACCUGCCUGAUAGUGGCUGUAUACCUUAACGACUUGUGGUUUUCAAGUUGGAUGUUGAGAAGACUUAACUUGUGAAGUUAAGUAGUUGUAAUUUAGUUUAAAUUACUGGAUUAAAUCAUUCUGGUGAAGAGACUGGACAUAGCUAUCAGAUUGAUAGUGAACUAGGAUAAAUUACUAUAUUAUCACUCUUCCCUCUGUUUACUGCCUUGUCUUUCCUUGUUUUAUUUUCACCCAUUAGUUAGCCCAAUUUUUUUUUAUUUUUUUAUAUAAAAAUCGAAUACACAAUUCAAACCCUCAUUUGUUAUGUAUUUUUCCACCUACAAAAGGCUACACACAAGUUGUAGGUGUAGAUUAUCAAGACACUUUCAACCAUAUUGACAACCUCACCACUAUCAGGUUGGUUCAUCUCAAUAUUGGUUCCUCCAUUGUAUAGACUGUAAGAUUUAUGGGUCACAUAUGUAAUUAAUUAAUAAAGUGUGUUAGGGUCAUUAUAUAAUUAGCCAAUAAACUUGGGGUCAAAUAAUAUAUAAUAGUUUAUGGCUAAAGAGCAUAAUAGUUAUGAAAAUUAAUAGUGUAGAUAUCAGACAGUUUCUAAUUUAAUGAGGGGCUGAAUUGGAAAUACUGCAAUUUGGGAUAUAACUAAUAAUAGUUAUAUAUAGGGGUAAUGGUCCCCAAGGCAAACACAACAAGAUUGUUCAGUCUCACAAACCCUAAAGGAGAAAACUCUCUGGUUCUCUCUAUCUCCAUCAAGAGAGCAAAGUCUUCAGGGUGUUUUGCUGAGGAAGAUCACCCAACCCAUUGGCUCUAUCAUCAUCAUAGCAGGAUUUCAUUAAUGGCAAUUCCCACAGGUACGCUUCCGCCUUUGGCUAUUCAUCAUGUAAUUGACAUGGAUUGUUGAGCACAACGUUAUUAGGGUUUUCCAACAAUUGGUAUCAGAGCCUACCAUGUUUAAUUCAUGAUGAAAUUCGGUUAUUGUCUUUGUUUAGGGUUUGUAAUUUGAGAAUUUUGAUAUAUAUAUUAUGGAAUCCAUAUUAUUUUGUUUCCGGUUAUAUUUUUUUUUUGUAAUGGUUUGAAGUUGAACACACUGUGAUUUUUAAAACCUAUUGUCGUUAAUAAUCUUUGCAUGAUACAAUGCGCUGACAUGAUCCCUAUUUGGUGUGGUGUGAUGGUUACACAUAUCCUUGGUGAUUAGUUGUUACUCUUUCUGUUUUGUUCCCUUUCGCAGACAAGAAUUUGCAAAUGCAGAAGGGCAAAUAUGUGUAUCUUGUGUUAUUAUAUUGAAUUCUGUUUUAGUUUUAUUAACAUUUGUUUGAACUCCGUUAGUGAAAGCGACAUGAUUUUAUUUUUUUUUUGAGAACCUUGUUAAUAAAUAUUGAUGAAACUUCGUGCCUUUUUUGCAUUAUUAUCCUCUAAUAAUGUACUUCAUAAGAGAAAUAAAUUACAUAUUAUUUUUGUUUAUACUAAUCAUCGAUUGAACUUCAAAUAUCUUCGAGUACUAACAUUAUGUACUGGCUGAGUACUAACAUUGCAAAAUGUUCUUCAGUACAAUUUUUAACGUGUUUGUUAUUUUAAUUUCAUGGCUAAAUUAAUUAGCUUAUCAUCCAAUUUUUUUUAUAAAACAAUAAUUAUCAAAUACUAAUAAAGUUUAUAUUAGUGAAAAAUAAUUUUUUUUAAUAUUUUUUUAUUUGGAUAUAAAUAUUUUUUAUUUUUAAUAUUGUUUUAUUUGGAUAUAAUAAAUAUAUGUUCAAGUCAAGUUUGACAUUUUUGAAUGAGUUAAUUGAAACUUGACGUCGCCAAAGUGACCUCUCUUGUCUAAAUUGCUCGUGAAGAGUGUCAAAUGGCUGUGUAUAUGUUUAUUCAUGCGGGUAUUGACCGGCCCAAAGGAAGGUUAAUAUUUGGCAGAAUUACUUGGUACACCUGAGAUGAUAAAUGUGUGACAAUUAUUUGGUAUACAUGUGAGCAGUAAAUCGGCCCAAAGAAAGGUUUAUUGUUUGACAUGUCUUAUUGUCAAUAUUUGAUCGUUGCAACAAAAGUACCACUAGCAGUUGGUGUUACUGUCCAAAGACUUGACAUCAAUGGUGCACUGGGUAUCUUGAGAUGGGUUAAAUUCCAUGAUUUGAACAUAUGUAUUUAUUUAUUUAUUGAUUUAUUUUCCUAUAAUGUGAGUUUCUAAGUUUCGUUCUUUAUUUAAUUUACAGCAUCGGUUGCUUCCAUAUCUGCAAAUUUGAGUUCUAUUCCUGUCCUUGAUGGGACAAAUUUUAAGGAAUGGAAAGAGAACAUUUUGAUUGUUCUUGGCUGCAUGGAUCUAGACCUUGCAUUAAGAAUUGAUCGACCCUCUACUCCUAAGGACUCUAGUUCUUCUGAAGAAAAAUUAGAGUAUGAGAAAUGGGAUCGCUCAAAUCGCAUAAGUCUUAUGAUCAUAAAGCGUGGGAUUCCUGAAGUCUUUAGAGGUGCUGUCCCGGAUGAGAUAGAUACAGCUAAAAAUUUCCUUGCUGAGAUGGAAAAACGCUUUGUAAAAAGUGAUAAGGCUGAAACAAGUUCUUUGCUUCAGAAUUUAAUUUCCAUGAAGUAUCAAGGCAAGGGAAAUAUAAGAGAGCACAUUAUGAUGAUGUCCAACAUUGCUUCUAAGCUUAAAGGUCUAAAGCUUGAGUUGUCAGAUGACUUACUCAUUCAUUUAGUAUUGCUGUCUCUUCCUUCGCAAUUCAGUCAGUUUAAGGUGACUUAUAAUUGUCAAAAGGAGAAAUGGACUCUUAAUGAGCUCAUUUCAUUAUGUGUGCAAGAAGAGGACAGGCUGAAGCAAGAUAGGACUGAAAGUGCUCACUUUACUAGCAUCUCUAAAGACAAGGGCAAAAGGAAAAGAAUUGAGGAGCCCAAGAACAAAGCUGCUGCUAAGGGUCCAGAACAAAAGAAGCAGACUAAGGAUAACAACUGCUUCUUCUGCAGGAGUUCUGGACACGUGAAGAAGGAUUGUGCCAAAUAUCACGCUUGGCGUGUUAAGAAAGGUAUGAUUCUGUCUUUGGUCUGUUCUGAGGUUAAUUUAGCUUCAGUACCUGGAAACACUUGGUGGUUAGACUCUGGUGCAACUACUAACAUCAGUGUUUCAAUGCAGGGUUGCCUGAACUUCCGAAAGCCUAGUGAUACUGAAAGAUGCAUCUAUGUAGGAGAUGGGAAGAAGGUAGAAGUUGAAGCCAUAGGAAAAUUUAGAUUAUUAUUAAGUUCCGGUCAUUAUUUGGAUUUAAAAGACACUUUUGUUGUACCGUCAUUUAGACGGAAUUUGAUCUCUAUUUCUUAUUUGGACAAAUCAGGAUAUUAUUGUUCAUUCGGGAAUAAAGAAUUUACUUUGUCUUUAAAUUCGAAUGUUGUUGGAACCGGUUUACUUUCUGGUUAUGAUAAUCUUUAUUUGUUGGAAACUGUGGCUAACUAUAAUGAAACCUUGAAUGUGGAAUCACGUGGUACUAAGCGGAAAAUUGACAAUUUCAAUUCAGGAGUGCUUUGGCACAAACGUCUAGGUCACAUCUCUAAAAAUAGAGUUGAACGACUUGUGUCAGAUGGAAUUUUAGAUUCCAUUGACUUCACAGACCUUAACGUUUGUGUAGCAUGCAUUAAAGGAAAACAGACUAAAGAUAAGAAAUUAGGCGCAUAUAGAGCUACAGACGUCUUAGAAUUGAUACAUACGGACAUCUGUGGGCCAUUUCCAACUCCUUCUUGGAAUGGUCAACAAUAUUUUAUAUCAUUCAUAGACGAUUACUCUAGAUAUGCCUACCUUUACCUAAUUCACGAAAAGUCCCAAUCAAUAGACGUGUUCAAAUCCUUUAAGGCAGAAGUUGAGAAUCAACUUAAUAAAAGAAUUAAAAAGGUCAAAUCUGAUCGUGGUGGUGAAUACUACGGCAGAUAUGACGGUUCAGGUGAACAACGUCCGGGACCAUUUGCCAAAUACCUAGAGGAAUGUGGAAUCGUCCCACAAUACACUAUGCCGGGGUCACCCAGCAUGAAUGGUGUAGCUGAAAGACGAAACAGGACUCUUAAGGAUAUGGUAAGGAGUAUGAUUUGUCAUUCCACCUUGCCAGAGUCACUCUGGGGAGAGGCAUUAAAAACAGCAGCAUACAUUCUUAAUAGAGUACCAACUAAGGCAGCGGCUAAAACACCUUAUGAGCUUUGGAUUGGGCAGUUGUUAAAGAGAAGGUACAAAGUGGACAGAUAUCCAUAGAACACUUAAGGACAAACUCCAUGAUUGCGGAUCCACUCACUAAAGGUCUACCACCCAAGGUCUUUCAUGAGCAUACUGCUCACAUGGGUGUGCUACAGUUUGAGGAAUCUUGAUUUUAGUGGGAGUUUCGUCCAUUAUGUAAUUCAUGUUCUAUGUUUAAUUGUAAAGUACAAAUACAUUGUAUUUGGACUUUCUGAUCAGAAAUAAAGUUUAAAGUAUUCAGUUUUUGGUUACUUUGUACAUUUAAGUUAUGGUAUGAUCUCAUUCGAUAAAGUAGGACCAGUUGAAAAUUGACAUGCAUUGACCAACUUCAUGUAAUUUUCAUGCUACACUUUUCAUAAUGGGUCUAUGUCAUUUAGUUGUGUCAGUACGGGUGAUCAUUGAUGGGUUUAGUUAUGCUUAUUAUGACGAAAGCCUCUUUGGUUCCAUGUGCUGAUAUGAUUAAUGGACGGGAAAAUUUGGAUUAUACUCAAGGUAAUAAUUAUAAUGACAUUUUUGACGUCAUAAAGUCUAACACACUCUUAAGGAUACAUGUGUGACCAGUGGGAGAUUGUAAGAUUUAUGGGUCACAUAUGUAAUUAAUUAAUAAAGUGUGUUAGGGUCAUUAUAUAAUUAGCCAAUUAACUAGGGGUCAAAUAAUAUAUAAUGGUUGCUCCAUUGUAUAGACGCCAACAAUGCAUUUCUACAUGAUGAUUUAGAAGAAGAUUUGUAGAUAUCCUUUUCACCUAGCGUGAAAUGUUCAUCUCCUAAUCAAGUUUUAAAGUUAGCAAAACCCUUUAUGAUCUCAAACAAUCCAACCGUCAAAUGAUUUUUCAAAAUGUCCAAUUUUCUCAUGACUCGUGAUUAUUCUUAAAUUCGAAGGGAUCGCUCUCUCUUCAUAAAUUCUUCUGCCAAGUCAUUAUGUUGAUGACUUAAUGUUAGCUAGAAAUGACAUGGCUAAAAUCAUGGCUGCAAAAGUUCAUAUAGACCAAACUUUCUACAUCGAGACCUUAGUGACUUCAAAUAUUUUUUGGGCAUAAAUAUGCUCUAGAUUUAAUUUCAUAUGCACAUCUUUUUGUCUCUACGCCAUGGUCAAUAACUCUACUCCUACAACACAUAGUGAUCAUUUCAAGAUAUUUAAGCAUAUUGUUUUCUCAUUGGUCGUUUAUUCUACUUAACUACAACGAUAUAUACCUAACAUUUUCAUUGUUGUGCAACAACUCAGCCAACAUAACUGCUCCUUUGAAUUCUCAUUAAGUUGCUAUAUAAGUUCAUAUAGAUCAAACUUUCUACAUCUAAAACUUUGGUUACUUGAAAUAUUAUUUUGGAAGUUAUUCGCUCUAAAAAGGCAUCAUACUAAAUCAAUGUAAAUAUGCUCUAUAUACAAAAUCCUUCAAUCAAUAAAGAUUAUCAAUUAUGUCUUUAUUUAUCUUUUUCUUAUACUCUCUAAGAAUGUACUGUCCUCCUCUCCAAACUGAAUGAAAAAAUUAGUUUAUUGCAUCCUUAGUCAUUCAACUUUAUAUAUUUAUAUAUGACUCAUAAAAAAAGUUUAUUCUAUAAACAAUAAAAAAUUGUAUUAAAGAAAGACAAGUUUUUGUUUGUUUUGGUAGGGGUUGGUGAGAAAAUGAAAAGAGGUCAAAUGUAAGACUGGAUUACUUGAAUAAUGAAAAUGUAUGAGAAAAGGGUAAUUGUGGAAUUUUGAGUUUAAUUAAUUGUAAAUUAAUACAUUGUGAACGUGGCACCACGUUUGGGAGUGAUCAUAUGUACAAUGUAUUACAUACGUAUUUAAAAGUUUCUAUCAUCUUUUCCACACAUAUUAAAAAAUAGUUAAUAAAUUUAAUUUGUCUAUUUUAUGUGUAAAUGUUUCUAAAAAUAUUUUUUAUAUGUAUGACUGUAUUUAAUUUAAUUUUUUAUUUUCUAAAAUAAAUUAUAAAUAAAUAAAGGAGAUAUGUUCGAAAAAAAAUAAAGUUUAAAUAUGUCUUUGUUCUUUACAAUUAUAAUUUUUUUGAUUUUAGUUUUUGUAAUUUUUUUAUUUAGUUCUUAUCCUUACAAAUAUAAUGUCAUUUUAGGAUAGUCUUUCCAUCUAAUUUCUGUCACAAAAAUUAUAAUACCGUUAAACUUAAGUAUAAUUAAAAGAUUACUUUUUUUAACCCUAAAAUUAAUCUUCAAUAUAAUUAAAUUAUAACAUUUUUUACCUAAAAUAAACUCCCAAUAUAAUUAAAUUAUAACAUUUUUUAACCUAUAGUAAAUUCCAAGUGUUUCAUUCUUCUUUCAUAAAAAAAUCCUAAAAUUAAAAAUUUUAAAAUGGUUUCUUCUGAAAUUAUUGGUUCAAGUUUAGAGCAUCAACACUUACAUGUUAAUUACAAGAUAAUAAUUUGUAUUAUAUUAUCAAAGAUAGAGAUGAUAUUAAGAUAUUAUCGGUGAGUUUCUUUUGAAAUUGUUGGUUCAACAUUUUUUUUUAGUUUUUAUCUUCUAUAAUAAUCAUCUCAAGGUGAAACCCGCUUUAGAAAUUUCUUGGUUAACUAAAUUUUUCAAUUUAUUGAUCAGAUUUUUGGUGGAACUAGAACUAGAUUCUUCCACAAAAUUUUUGAAUUUUUUAACUUAAAAUAAAUGAAAUAUGAAUUUUUUAAAUGUCAUAAACUCAAGAUAAAUGUAACGAUAAUAUAUAUUUAUAAUUUGUAUUUCAACUUAUUUUUUUAUGGAAAAACUUCUCAUAAUAUUGUAAUUGCAAAAUAAUUCAAAAAUAUAUAUUAAAGUUUCAGUAGGUGCAAAAAUUGUUUGCAUAGUAAUUUUUUAGUGACUAAAUGUAAUUUGAUUAGAUAGGAACUAACUUUUUUUUAAUAAAAAGAAUACAUUUUUAUUUAGCUCUUUUUUAAAUCUAAUUUUAUUUUUGUUCUAUAGUUCAAAUAUUAUUAUCCUUUCAAGUCAACAGAAUCGUUAGAGAGAAUCCAUUCAUACUAAACACAUAGUGCCUCGAUCAAUGUACAUUUUUUUCUUAAAAGGUCAGUAUAAUUAAGGUCUCUGCAAUUUAUUAAUUAACUCAAAUUUUGAUUUUUAUAUAUUUUUUCAGAAAUAAAAUGUAAGUAAAAUUAGUUCAUAAUUUUUCAAAUAAAAGAUAAACAAAAUUUUAAUAAACUACCCUUAAUUUAAUAUAUAUAAUCCAGUUUAUUAAUUAUUGAGUGUUAUUUAAACAAUAGACUUAACUUUUUAUUGAAAUUAUAUAUAUUAAAUUAUGAUCAAUAAUAUCUUUUAAUAUGCAUAAAUUAUCAAUAUUUAUUUAUAAUUCCUUUUAGAUUAAUUAUUUUGGAUAUAAUAAUGAGGCUAAAUUCUACUCAAAUGUUUAGAUAGUAUAUUGAAAUUCUCUGCCUCCUCAAGUUGAUGAAUAUAUUUUGUGGGAACCAAAUUGCGGAUCUCAUCGACAAAAUUCAUUAUAUUGUUCAGCCACAAUUGUUGAGUACUUGGUGUAGUAUAAAUACCUUUUUAAUUUAAUAUAAUUUUAUACAGCAAUACAUAAAUUUUUUAAAGGUUAACAUGUCUUUUUGGCAUUAAAAAACCUUUUUUAAUUUUUUUUAUUUAUUUACUUUUUUCUCUUUCUUACUAAUUGAUAUUUAUUUCACUUCUUUCAUUCUUUCAUUCUCUUAUUUUGUAUUUUUAUUUUUUCACGUUAUAUUUUUUAUCCUUUUUUAUUCAAUUUUUAUUAUUUUAUUUUUUCAUUUCCAAUUUUUUUUCUCUCUCUUUUUUAAUUUCUCAUUUGGAAUUAAGAUGUACACUAUAAAUAAAUGUAUUGUAUAUAAAAAAAAUACAUAUGGCAUUAUAAUUUAUAAUCACUCAUUAAUUACAUUUUAAUAAUUUAAAAAUAUUUCAACAAAAAAAAUCGUCUAGUCUAAUUUUAUUGUCUGACAUAUUCUAUUGGAUUAUUAUAAUAUGCAUUUCAAAAUUCAAACACAUCAUACAAAAAAAAGAAAAAAAAUUUAAAUACAACAUCAAGCUUAUAUGAGUAUAUAAAAAAGAAAAUUUGAUAUUGUGCAGUAAACCAAUUAAUUGUAAAUAGAUCCUUUGAUAACAAUAAUUUGUUAUUGUGCAUUAAACCAAUUAAUUAUUAUCAAAUACUAUAUUGAUAUUGAUUGUAUAUUCAAAAUUUGAAUUAAGGAUUUAAAUUGAUAUAUCAGCAUAUUCUUUUCUUUGCAUUUACAAUUAUUUAAAUUGGUCUUCAAAAUAUCAUUCAAUCACCUAUGAUUAAUAAUUAUCUUCAUUCUUCUUCAAUCACCUACAAUCAAGUAUUUUUCUUAAUAUCAUAUCUCAUCCAUUCAAUUGUCUUUGUUAUAGAAUAUAAUAAUGGCUACAUUCGACUUUUCAAAUCAACCAAACAAAAACAAUUCCUAUAUUUUUUAUGCUAUAAAAAUUCGUAUAUAUAAUAGUAUUAAUAUUUAUCAAUUACAAAUUACAACUUCAAAAAUUCAGUUUUGUAUCUCACUACUUGUUUUGGACAAACUUUGCAUCUCUUUUCUAAAAUAUCAAACAUUGUGAUUUUUUUAAAACCAAUAUAGGAUAUUAAUUAUUCUAUUUUGAUAUGCAUUGUAAAAACAUAUUUGAUAUGAAAAAUGUAAUUUUUCAAUUUAAUUGCUCCAAUUACAACUCACAGCUGUCAAACUUUUGAAGAAUGGGGCAAGAUAAACCUCAACUGCCACUGCCACUUAUCGAAUCAACUCUUCAAAGAUCAGAAGCUUUUUGGGUAAAUUUAACUAUACAACAUUCUUCGGUUUUAUGGAACAUUUUCAUUUUAAGACAUGUUUAUUGGUUUAUCAGUAUACUGGUUUUUGUCAUUUUUUUUUUGAUAUAUUUUAUUUAGGUGAGUGAUAUAAUAUUCAUUUUUGAACAUUUAGUAUGUGCUUUAAAAUUUUGUUUUUGGUUUUUCAUGUUAAUAUUUUUCUUCUUUGCAAAUAAACUUUAUCAAGGUGAGUUGGAUGUAUUACCCGAACACUUUCCAAAUUGUAUAUUACUUGAACACUUAAAAAUCAAGGUUGGAUGUUUUAGAUCGAACAACAAUCAAAUAGGAGAAAUUUCAUAAACACCGACAAUAUUUUAGCAGUUUAAUAAUUUUAAAAGUAAUUUUAUUUUGCAUAUAUUUUCAUUAAGAUUGAUAGGAAAUUAGUUUAAAAUAUAUUAUUUUAUUAUGUAUAAUAACUACUAGCAAUUUAUAAAGUGAUAAGUGGACGAAACAUGUAAGGAGUGUUACUAGGUCUUCAUAGUAUGCUAACAAAAAUGUUUUGGUCCAUAUUGACUUAAUGUAUAUUUGGUAGUCGUCAUAAGGAUGAUUUUAUUAUAAUUCAAUUAUUAUGUUCCAUCAGUCAAUACUUAUUAGAUUUGUUAAUAUGUAUUUAUAAAAUUCGGUUCACAUAUUACAAUGAUAUAAAUAACGGUAAAAAUGUUCCAUGAUACUCUUACAAUUUUUUACUAUUUCUUUUUUUGGUUUGACAUUACGAGUUACGUAAAUGUUGCAACUAAUGUUAUUUUGCAACGAAAUGAAUUAUCCUAAGUCUACCUAACAUGAGAGAAAUAUCUGAUCCAAAUGAAACUAAAUGAAUAAAGGUUAUAUGAAAAAUAUAAUUUGGUGUUAAAUGAAAAAUCACGUUGUAAAGAAAAAAAAUAUUGAAAAUAUAUAAUCAUAUAUACACUUUAGCAUUAAGCAAGUUGAAGGGUAAGAUUACGUUAUACAUAAAUAGUUAAUAUACAAAUAAUCAUAUGUCCUAGAUAGAGGAGUCAUAGAAAUAUAUAUUUUUAAUCAUUUUUUAUGAAAAACAUAAAUUAGACCAAAGGAGGAGAGAUGAUAUAAAUCUAAGUCGUUGCAGAUGUAUGAGAAAUCACAAUUGGUGUAUUUUUUUUUUCAUCAUCAAUUUCUUAUUUUUGUUUCUGAGAGUUUUUAUUUUAUAAUCAUACUUUAGAUACGAAAUAUACACCAUUAUUUAGCAAUGUUAAUCUCAUUUUUCAACUGAAUUUUCUUAACACACGACUCAUGGAUUGAACCAUAAUCACUUGCAUAAGGAUCCUGAGUCCCUUAUCACUCGGAUCGACUCAUUAUUCCGAGAGAGAAUUAAAAAAAAUCGCGUGUCUAACCAUGUUCAAAUUUCAUUGAAUCAGUAUCUCCUCCUUUUAAUUAGCUAUAUAUCAAAUUAUCUAUACAUUACUCUAUACUUAUACUCGACCACACAUAUUGAUUUACAACCCUUCCAAAUUAUGAAAUAAGAAAUUUUCACAAUAAUAUGUUGUUGAUUUCACAAUGCACUUAUUUGAAUUAUUGUAAUUUGAUGUUUGCAACGAUCUCUUAAUCAAUUUGGCACAAGCUACAUACUAGAAAAUAUAUACCUGUCACAACCAUAAUUUGCGAUGAUUUAUAUGUAGUUGUUUGAACAAAAUGAUUUACUCAAAUAGAUAGAUGUUUAAUGAACAUCGUAUUUGAUUGAUUAGAUUUUUGGAUUUGUGUCUCUUUUCCUAGGUCAAAAAAUAUAUCUCAUAUUUUAUACUCGGACAUUACAUACUUUGAUAUUUUGUUUUGGACCUAUUAGUUUUUCAAACUUGGUAAUUACCAAAUAAAUUAUAGGUUAUGCUUAUUAGGAUGCUAUUUUUAGUCCAAUUGUAAGAUGCACUUAAAAAACUGUAUGAAUAGUUAUAAUCAUAAAUUAAAUUUUCAAAUUUAGGCUAUAGUUCCGUAUUCAUUAUUUCCCUUUUUUAGAUAAAAUUAUGGAUCACUCUCUAUUUGAAUAUAAAAUUACAAAUACUAUGUAUGAUAUUUAAUCAAAUAUUAUUUUAUGAACAUGUUAUCUAAUCACACUAUACAUGUAAUAUUAAAAUAUAAUUAAUCUCAAUGACUAUGUUAUAAUAUGAUCACAAAAUUUGCGUAAGAAAUUAAAUUUAUCAAAAAUCACAUUUUAAAAAAUUCCAACAAUUUUUUUAUAGAAAAUAACAUAACAUGUGUUUGACAAUUUAUAUUUAUCAAUAAAUUUAAUUUACCUAUGAUAAUGUAUUUGUUUAUAUUCAACUAUCUUAUAGUAAUGUAUAAUAUAUAAAAUAUGAUAUUAUUAUAUUUUUUCAAUAUCUCAACCUCUCUUCAUAUUUUCUCAAUAUCAUUCAAAUUUAAAAUACAAAAUAGAUAGAAUAUAGUUUUUCCCCGUAAAAACUGCAUGUUUUCACUAUCCUCUUUACCCAUGUCAGUUAAAAACUAAUCCAACUAGAAAAUAGGUAAUAUGUAACUGUAAAUGAUUUUGAUAUUUCUGAUGAUCUAACUUGUAAACUGUCCAAAUGAGUUAAUUGCACUUAAUCCACCAAACUAAUUCUUGCGAGUUUAUGAAAUCUCCAAUGGUUUCAUAAUAUUUUAAGGUUAUUAAGCAUUUACACUUUCGGGGAAAACAAUAUGGCAUGACUAAAAAAAACUUAUUCUUUUAAAUUGGUAAAAAUUACAUCAAUCGAGAAAAAUACAAUUUUAAGUCGUAAAAUUAAAGUGUCAAAAAUACAAAUGUUUCUAAAGCUGUAGUAUUUUAGAUGCCAAAGCCAUUGAUUGAAUGCACUGAAUCGAAGUUGAUUUGUCAAUCUGAACCAAACGAACACCAAUGUUAAGACAAACUCUCAAUUUAAGUUUUGAUGAAAAUAAACAAAGGUUAAUUAAGAAUGUUAAUUAUGAUUCUAAAUGUUAUGUUAAUUUUACUUGUAUUUUUGAGUGGAUUAAUUCAAAGAUAGGACUCAAGCAAAGCAAAGAAAUCAACAACAAAAGAUAAAAAUUGAACAGUUAAAAAAGGAGAACAUUAUGGACAAAACAUGUAAAAACGAAGAAUGUUCUCCAGGACCAAGACUGAUCAUAACAGCUCCAAGGUCAAUCAAUCUCCAAUAGUUAAAAGAAGUUUUAGCCUCUGGAUUUUACAUUAAUAUCACCAGCAUUUGACAAUGAACAAACUGAGAUGAUCAUAUCCAAAGAAACUAAUAGAAUCACAAAGAGAGAAGAUAACAAAUUAGCAAGACCAAACAGAUAUGAACCUUCUCCAGCUUAAACUGUCAAGAAAAAUAAACGAUCUUGAAAGGUACAAGACAUCCAAAUUAAUCAGGAAGACAUCCAUAAUGAUCGAGACUGAACCACCAGAUUGAUUAUCAAUCUCUAGCAAGUUCAAAGACUAGGACUCCAGAUUGAUCAUCAAUCUCCAGAAUUUUCAUUAAACAUUCUACAAAAGUUCAUCAUCAUUCUCCAAGAUAUUUUGACAGAAUCAAAACUCCAUAUCAAAGCAAUGACAUCAACAAAUAUAUCUAAAGUAAAAGGAUUAUUAAACACAAGAGAAAUCUGAUCAAGAACGAAGAAAUCAGUCCUGUCAAACAGAUUUCAAAAAGCGUUCAAAGGCUGGAAUAUAUUUAUUCAUAUAUAUCGAUUUUGGUCAAAGCUAACAUAGCACUACCAAAAGCUCUUUUGACCAUUAUUAAUUGCUCUAAAACGCCUAUAAAAGGGAAAUAUCAGAAUUUCAAGUGCUAACAAGUCUCAAAAAAUCACUCACACAUUCACAUACUUGAAACUCUCAUCGUUCAAAGAAGAAUCAGUCUGAUCACUUUUCAUUACUCUGUUACUAUUGUACCGAAUUCUUUGUAAAGAAUCGAAUCUCAAACAAGAGUUGAGACAUCUCAGAUUUUAUCAAAAUAAUCUCAUCAUUAUUGUAAAACUCGAACUAUAAGAGUUUAGCAUAGUUUGGAUAGAUUGCAAGAAAUCCUAUCAAUGUUGAUAGGUGAACCAAUUAAAUCUCUUUGUGGAUGGAAAGGAUUGAAGUUUGUAAUAGAUCAAGGUUGAUAUAAGCUAGGUAUUAUAAAACCAAGAAGGUUCUUUGUUUGCACUUAGUGGAAAAUCUCACAGUUGUGGGACUGGACGUAGCCUAAGUUGGGUGAACUAGGAUACAUCGGUGUGUGGUAUUCUUUCUCUUAUCUCUUUAUUUAUCAAGUCUGAUUAAUCACUUAAGUUAAAAACAUAAACUGAAUUUCUGAUUUUAAGCUAACCAAGAACGUUCUACAUUUUCUGGUAAAAACCAAUAAUGUUCUCCAUUUUCAGUUUUCUUAAAUCAAGAUCAUUAUUGAGUUGAAUUUUUAAGUAUUUUUAGGAAAUUUGAGUUGGAAGAACUAAUUGGAACCUUAAGAGCACAUGAAGUAUUGCUGCAAGAAGACAAACCAGUCAAGAAAGGAAAGACAAUAGCUCUAAAGGCAUCUAAAGAUAGUGUAGCAGUAUAAACAGAGGAGGAACCAGAAGAAACUAGACAAGAAGAUGCUGAUGAAGAAAUUGCUCUUCUCACCAGAAGGAUACAUAGAAUGAUGAGAAAAAGAGACCAAAUCAAAAAGGGAUUUCAAAACAAAAAUCCCAAAACAGAAGUGGACAAGAGCAAAAUCAUAUGCUUUGGAUGUAAUAAAUUAGGACAUUACAAAGCAUAAUGUCCCUUAAAUAAAAAGCCACCAAAACGAUUUCCUUCCAAAAAGAAAUCAAUGAUGGCCACGUGGGAUGAUUAUGAAGAAUCGGAUACAGAAGAAGGUGAGGAAGCCAACAUAUGCUUGAUGGAAAAUAUAGAAGAAGAUGAGGUAACAAAUUAUGAAUCUUGCUAUUUAUGUGAACAAAUAGGAAAAGAAUUUGAUAACUUGCUAAACAAUUCAAACCUUCUUAUUCAAAAAUGAAUUUCUUUAAAAGAACAAUUUCAUAAAGAGAAAGAAGAAAAAGUAAAAGCUCAGGAUAUAAAUAAUGUCCUCAAAAACAUCAUUCAAGAACUAAAAGAAACACAACAACAAAAUUUUGAAAGUCAAAGAGGUCAAGAACGUUCUGUAGCUAAAACGGAGAACGUUCUCCUUAAAACUAAAAAUGAACUUCUUAAAAAAGACUUGUCAAAUUUUAUUAAAGUCACUGAAAUAUUUCAAAAAAUCAUGGGAUCUCAAGUAAGAAUCUUUGAUAAAGCUGGUUUUGUUUUAAUCAAACUCAAAAAACAAAAAUAUAUGAAAUCUUUUUUGUGCUAGAAAGAAAUGAAGAAAAAUGUAAAACUAAAUGCUCAUAUUGUAAAAAAACUUGGACUUCUGGAAUUUGCUUGCUACUUUAAGAAAAAAGAUGAAAAUCAAAAGGCUUUUUAAAGGGAAAUAUCAUUCUGCAAAUAAAGUUGAACUAAUUUUGAAAAAUCUGCAGAAAGGAGAACGUUCUCCAGACUGUUUUCAAAAUGGAGAACGUUCUGAAACAAAAGCAGAACUUUCUCCAGAAAAUCUAACAAAAGGAGAACAAUCUGGAACUUCUUCAAAACCAAGAUUAAAACCUUUUAAAACCCAGAUUACAAAGUCAAUUCCAAGAUCAACAAUUAAAUGCUCCUACUGUCUCAAAAUUGGUCAUCAAGAAUCAAUUUUCUAUCUUAAGAGGAAAUAAAAUUUUAAAACUAACUCUCAAGGACCCAAGACAAAAUGGGUACCUAAGGUUGAUAUAAUAUCUUAUGCAUAUUAGAUUUCCAAAUGUCAAGUGAAAGCCUUGGUUCUUGGAUCGUGGCUAUUCAAGACACAUGACAUGAGAUAAAAACUGCUUCAUGUCAUUCAUCAAGAAAGAUGGAGGAUCAGUUACUUUUUGAAACAACAAUCAAACACAUAUUAAAGGUAAAUGAACUAUUGGUAAGGCAAACUCUGCUCAAAUAACUGAUGUCCAAUAUGUUGAAGGUUUGAAACACAAUCUUCUAAGCAUAAGUCAGUUAUGUGACAAUGGUUUUGAAAUUAUCUUCAAACCAAGAGUAUGUGAAGUCAAAAAAACUGAAACUGGAGAAAUCAUCUUUUCUGGAAAUAGAAAGAAAAAUGUAUAUGUUCUAUAUCUUGAAGAACUACCUAAUGAAUCAUGUUUUAUGUCAAUCGAUAAAGAUAAAUGGAUAUGGCAUAAAAGGACUGGACAUAUAAGUAUGAAAACAAUUUCAAAAAUAGAUCUUGUUAGAGGAUUAUCCAAACUUAAUUUUGAUAAAGAUAAAAUAUGUGAAGUCUGCACAGAAGGAAAGCAAGUCAAAAGCAGUUUUCAUUCAAAAGAUUUUGUAAGUACAAACAGAACUCUUGAAUUGCUUCACAUGGAUCUUUUUGGGCCAAUUAAUACAACAAGUCUAGGUGGAAUGAAAUAUGGUUUCGUUAUUGUUGACGAUUUUUCAAGAUACACUCGGGUAUUAUUUUUAAAACAAAAAGAUGAUGCAUUCGAUGCAUUUAAAACUUUUUGCAAAAAGGUACAAAAUGAAAAAGAAUCCAACAUCAUUUCUUUAAGAAGUGAUCAUGGAGGAGAAUUUAUAAAUGCCUCUUUUAAAACCUUCUUUGAUGAACUUGACAUUUCUCAUAAUCUAUAAUGUGUAAGAACUCCACAAAAAAAUGGAGUUGUUGAACGAAAGAAUAGAACACUACAAGAAAUGGAAAGAACAAUCUUGGAAGAAUCUAAUGUUGAAAGAUAUUUCUGGACUGAAGCUAUUAACACUUCUUGUUACAUUUUAAACCGUGUAUCCAUAAGAAAAAUUAUCAACAAAACCCAUAUGAAAUUUGAAAAAAUAGGAAACCAAACGUUUCUUAUUUUCACAUUUUUGGAUGUUAUUAUUAUAUUUUAAACAACAAAGAUGUUCUUGAAAAGUUUGAUGCAAAAUCAUACAAAAUACUCUUUUUAGGUUAUUCAACCGAUUCUAAGGGCUAUAAAGUGUUUAAUCUAAGGACUAAAGUUGUAGAAAUCAGUAUGUGUAUAUUAUUUGAUAAGUUUUAGGAUUUGGAUUUAACUAAAAAAGAUGAGGAAGAAGAAGUUCAAUAUGGCCUGCAACAACAGAACAAUUUGCAGGAAACAGAGAUUGAUAAACAAUCUCCGUUUCAUUCUCCAUCAAAAAGCUGGAGAACAAUUGAAGAUCAUCCUCAAACAUAAAUCAUUGGAGAAACAGCUGAUGGGAUUCGAACAAGAAAAUCAUUCAAGAAGGAUGAAAACAACAUGGCAAUGAUAAUUCAAAUUGAACCAAAAUCAAUUUCUUUUUCUUUCUAUAACUUCUUCAAAAAAUUUUAACGUUUUCAAUUUUUUCAUCUACUAUCUAUUAUUGUAUAUCUAUUGAAACUAAUGUCUUUUUCUCAUCAUCCAACGACCAAUAUUUCUGAAAUUGGAACAAGUGAGCAAUUUCAAUCUCCAAUCCUCCUAGAAUUCGAGCUAUAGUUUUCUCCUCUCUUUCUUGGAUAUCGCAUUUCAUUAACUCCAAUAUGGUUAACAUAAAUAACCUAAUUUUAUAACCGAACAAAAAAUUUCAACAAAUUAUAAACAAACUUUUGGAGUUUUUAUUUUAUAUAUAUAAAUCAAGAACAUAGUAGAUGUACCAUUCUUUUUCUCCUUCCACUAUUUAUUGAAAAUAAACAAUAACUCUGUAUACUCUUUCUAUCCUUAAAUAUAAACAACUUUGAAUUAAAUUAAUUUAAAAUUGUUUAUAUUUAAAGUCGGAGAGAGUUUUUAUUUGUACACCACUAAAUAAAAACACAAAUACAUACAUAAACUCACACACAAACUUCACCACCCCACACCAAUUACAAUAUUAUUCAUUCUGGAACACAAAUGGGAGGGCAUCACCAUCAAGGGCCAACAAAAUCUUUCCAUUCUCACGAAAAAUCCCAACAGUGCCACAUAUAAAAUCACAAGUAGGGCAAACCUCUUUAGGACACCAUUGAAUAUUAUAGAUACCUACAGUUUGAGUUUGUACAAUCCUAAAGAAGUUACCAAAUGAUCCAAUUGUACUAUCAUCUCUUCCUGUGAUAAUCAACCUUCUUCCACUCUUUGCAUCCCUCUCACCCAAUCUCCAUUCUGUAGACCGACCACAAUUUGAGGAAUCUUCAUCAAAUGAUAUUCUCAAAUCCCUAUUAAGCCUCACAAAAUCAUCAUCAUUAUGGGGAGCAAAAGGAGUGAAUUUCACGUCCAAACCAUUUCGCGAGUUAGUGUUCUCGACACCAACAUUGAAAGGACAUGAUCCAUCUCUGGUGACCAAAGUGGAACGUCCUCCGUUGCCUGCAGUAGCAGGCACAAUGAAGUAUUCCUCAUCGAUCUCAACGGGUUCGCCGCCGGUAUCGAUGAUGAACUGGGCUAUUGAUGUUGUGGCCAUCAAAAGCCAUAUAUGAGCAAGAGUGAAUAUGGUGAGGGAUCUAGUUGACAUGAUUAUUAAUUAAUUAAUUAGUUACUUUAUUACCUUAAUUGCUCACUUAAUUGCACUCAAAGGCUAGAUGUGUUUUAGCUGUUGGUUAAGAGGCAACGUAUUUAUAGGACUGAUCAUCAUACCAUGCAAUGCAUAUAAUACUCAUGAAAGAAUGAAUGAAUGGACACAAAAGUUCAAUUAAUUAAUUACACGAGUGAAUUAUUUAUUAAUAUAUAGUUUGCUUUGUAAUUGCGAUUUGGACAAAAUAAUGAAUCUUUCAAGCGGAUGUGGAUAAUUUAUCAUUGUUUACAUCGUNNNNNNNNNNNNNNNNNNNNNNNNNNNNNNNNNNNNNNNNNNNNNNNNNNNNNNNNNNNNNNNNNNNNNNNNNNNNNNNNNNNNNNNNNNNNNNNNNNNNNNNNNNNNNNNNNNNNNNNNNNNNNNNNNNNNNNNNNNNNNNNNNNNNNNNNNNNNNNNNNNNNNNNNNNNNNNNNNNNNNNNNNNNNNNNNNNNNNNNNNNNNNNNNNNNNNNNNNNNNNNNNNNNNNNNNNNNNNNNNNNNNNNNNNNNNNNNNNNNNNNNNNNNNNNNNNNNNNNNNNNNNNNNNNNNNNNNNNNNNNNNNNNNNNNNNNNNNNNNNNNNNNNNNNNNNNNNNNNNNNNNNNNNNNNNNNNNNNNNNNNNNNNNNNNNNNNNNNNNNNNNNNNNNNNNNNNNNNNNNNNNNNNNNNNNNNNNNNNNNNNNNNNNNNNNNNNNNNNNNNNNNNNNNNNNNNNNNNNNNNNNNNNNNNNNNNNNNNNNNNNNNNNNNNNNNNNNNNNNNNNNNNNNNNNNNNNNNNNNNNNNNNNNNNNNNNNNNNNNNNNNNNNNNNNNNNNNNNNNNNNNNNNNNNNNNNNNNNNNNNNNNNNNNNNNNNNNNNNNNNNNNNNNNNNNNNNNNNNNNNNNNNNNNNNNNNNNNNNNNNNNNNNNNNNNNNNNNNNNNNNNNNNNNNNNNNNNNNNNNNNNNNNNNNNNNNNNNNNNNNNNNNNNNNNNNNNNNNNNNNNNNNNNNNNNNNNNNNNNNNNNNNNNNNNNNNNNNNNNNNNNNNNNNNNNNNNNNNNNNNNNNNNNNNNNNNNNNNNNNNNNNNNNNNNNNNNNNNNNNNNNNNNNNNNNNNNNNNNNNNNNNNNNNNNNNNNNNNNNNNNNNNNNNNNNNNNNNNNNNNNNNNNNNNNNNNNNNNNNNNNNNNNNNNNNNNNNNNNNNNNNNNNNNNNNNNNNNNNNNNNNNNNNNNNNNNNNNNNNNNNNNNNNNNNNNNNNNNNNNNNNNNNNNNNNNNNNNNNNNNNNNNNNNNNNNNNNNNNNNNNNNNNNNNNNNNNNNNNNNNNNNNNNNNNNNNNNNNNNNNNNNNNNNNNNNNNNNNNNNNNNNNNNNNNNNNNNNNNNNNNNNNNNNNNNNNNNNNNNNNNNNNNNNNNNNNNNNNNNNNNNNNNNNNNNNNNNNNNNNNACACCAACAUUGAAAGGACAUGAUCCAUCUCUGGUGACCAAAGUGGAACGUCCUCCGUUGCCUGCAGUAGCAGGCACAAUGAAGUAUUCCUCAUCGAUCUCAACGGGUUCGCCGCCGGUAUCGAUGAUGAACUGGGCUAUUGAUGUUGUGGCCAUCAAAAGCCAUAUAUGAGCAAGAGUGAAUAUGGUGAGGGAUCUAGUUGACAUGAUUAUUAAUUAAUUAAUUAGUUACUUUAUUACCUUAAUUGCUCACUUAAUU
rnacentral:lncRNA from 1 species